CAAGAUUUUUUUAUAAGUAAUUAUAUAAUAUCAUAGUGAAUAGGUAUCUGAGUACAAUUUCUUUAAUCAUGCUUUAAAUUUCGUUUCACGUGAAUAUAACAAAUAUUACGAAAUUGUAAUUGACACCGAUUACCUAUUGAAUCGUAUGUAAUAUUUUUCUAGAAACAUGAAAAACAUAUUGUAUUUUGGCUCGUGAUUCAGAAAAAUACUACAUAGUAUAUUUUAUAUUUCGAAAAGAAGUAGCGAGAGACCAUUACGUUGGGCGUAGCUGUAAAUAAAGCUAAAAAGUACCACAAAAACUCUGAGGUAACUAUAAAUUCAUCGGACAAUAAUAAUAUUACAACAUUUAGAAAUUAUUAAAAUUCCAAAUUAUAAAUGGAAUUUAUUUUUUUUUUCAAAAUAAUUUAAUUCCUCUUAAAUAUUUGAAAAUUCGAAUAUUCAAAGAUUUUCGAAAAUUAUAAUCUCACAGAGAAAAUAUAAUCCACGGAGCUCACUGGGAAAAACUGUUAAAGUCGUCCAAUGGUGUUUAAGUAGAGUCAUUUUUUUUUUUCUGUACCUGCCUACAUCUUAGUAUCUUAACAACCGUGUAGUUCGGUUUCGUGACGAAUGUUGUACCGAAGUUAUAUUUUUUUAUUUAUUAAAUCUAUUGUUUGACGUUUAAGUUUUUAUAAAAAAAUACCGUACGCAUAAAAAGAAAAACGGACUGCCCGGGCGUCGUCGCUCAUGGAAGAAAUGCGUCGGAUCACGAAUUCCGAGCCAAAGCUCGGGCACCAGGUGCGUAAUUUCAUAUCCCAUGCGACAAAUCAAUAAUAGGUUUUACAACUUUCUGCGUUAUUACAAACCUAUUUAUUGGCACGUUGUUCGGUAUAUAAAACUUAUCUAAUUAAAUCAUCGGAUAUUGUUAAUACCUACAUAUGGCUUGGUCAAAAUCGAACAUAAUGUAGGUACCUAUCGAUCCGUAAAUUUAUAAAUACUUCAAAUAUAGCGACAAUCUUAUUCACGGUUAUUUUUCGUGAAUUAUUAUUUUUUUUUUUUCUACGACCUACCCGAAUUCCGCUCACAAAACGUGAGUGACACAUGCAGUCGUUUAUGUUACAGAGAUUAGGUCGACACGUUUAGACCAGAUACUCCGGCCCAUACUGUAAACAUAUGCCUCUACCGGAUGUAUAACCAUAUUUUUAUUCCUCUCUCCCCCCCACCCCUUCGUUUAUCUGUCGGCUUCUAGUCGAACGAUUAAACUUGCCUAAUAUUGUGUAUGCUGUAGUAUUAUGUAAAACGUCGGUAGGUACUUACAAUAAUAAUAACUAUUACAAAUCGAGAUAUAAAAACACGAAAAUUAUUCUUAUAUUGCUUUCGAGUUAGGUAUAGAUGAGGUACUUAUUUGAGAUAUACAUAGGUCGGCGCAUAGCCAAUAGACGUGUAGUUUAACUACUACAUACUUAAUCAGGAUUUACACAAGAAUAUAAAAUACGAAAAAUACAGAUAACACUGUACGGACAAAAUGUUUACUUAUACCUAUACUAUACUAUUUUUGAGCGGGAAUUAUUUUUUUAUGGGCAGGGGAGGGGCAAAAAUAUAAAUGGUUUAGCUAUAGUUACGUUAUCAAUAUUUUCUGAGACUCGCCCUCCUCCCCAUGAAUCAUGAUACACGUGUAGGAGAAUGACUCAUUCCCCUAUCUGUGUUCUAAAACCGGUGCUCGAAAUUAAAAAAAAUUAUUAAAUUACAACAACAAUACAUAAUUGUCUUUUUUAAAUACCUAUAUAAUAUUUUAAUAUAUAUUCUCUAUGUUUAUAUUAUAUGAUUUGUGAAUAACAACGAUAAACUUUCUUUCUAUGUGGAAAUUUGAACAAGAAUUGCAUUACCGUUUAUUUCGAGCCCUGACUUGAGCACAUUUUUUGGUACAGACAUAACUAAAAAAUAAAAUAAAAUUUCUGUUGAUAUAAAGUGCAUACAGUGUUGUCAUAGAUUAUUAUAUAGAUACCUAUCAAAUUACACGUAAUUAUUUGUGUAGUGAUGUGAUGUUAUAGAAUUAUAAUCUCAAUUUCGACUGGUUUUUUAAAAUCAUAAUAUCAGUUAGGUAACUAUAUGUUAUAAAGUUAUGAAAUAUUAUUUAUUUAUCUAUAUUGUAUUGGGAGGGAGGGGUGAAAUGAUAUGUUUGCCCCGCUACCUAUGCUUUGAACGGUGGGAUGACCGAAGUAGAGAUACUUACAGAGGCCUUUUGUAUACAUGGUACAAUUUUCAAAAAAUUUUUAAAGGCGCACUUAACUCACUUUUUCCACUAACUUAAAAAUAGUAUUUUUUACAAUUUUGUACUAAAAACCUAAAAUCCUCAAAAACUCAUAAUUCAAUUUCAUUUUACGGGUCCUGUGGUUUAUUUGUUUAAAGUAGAUAAAAUUGUGUUGGCCGACAGAAAUACUGUUAAAUUUAAUAAGUGGUUAACUAAAAAUUCUACUUAGUGAUGAAAAUAAAAGUUUAGCCUAAUAUAGGUUUUUUUUAUACAGGAUCCCGUAAAGACCAAACCAUACAAUUUUUCUAAAAUUCUAAAUAUUUGUAGUCCUUAUUCCUAUGAGUCAUAUUAUGAAAAUAAAUCAGAAUCUGAUUACUUUUAUUAUCCCAGGAGAUAUCGCUAAUCGUUAGGUAUGGGUAUAUAUUCGUAGGACACUGUAAUCACGUUUAAAGGAAAUCGUAAACAUCACAUAAUUCAACGUAUUAUUUUUCCAUUUAUGUUAAUAUAUCUAGUUUUUAGUUAACCCAACAUUUUUGAAAUUAAUAUCACAAUUUUAUAAUACGUUAAAUUUGAUGGUAAGACCAAAAAAAAAAAAAUAAUGCAUAAUGCAUUAGUUUUUUUUGUUUUGAUAAGUUGUUAUUUGUAAUUCAAAUAUGGACAUAAAUCAUGACAUAUUAUACAAACGAACUUCAUUUAGAAUCGUAUUUCGUUAACAAUGAUUUUAUAUAUUAUAUAUAUUGACUUAUAAUAAUUCUGUGUAUCAUACACAUAAUUCCCAGCUUCCCACCUACAAGUUACAACAGUGAUGGCACAAUCACCUAUAGUAUUAGUUCUUUUAGAUACGUGUGCCACCAUUUAUGAAAGUUAAUGUCUGAAGAUUACUUUAGGUAUGUAAUUUUUUGAUUUUCCAAACGGUUUUCAUAAUAUCUGGGGAAACCCGGUAUAAAACAUUAGAAAAACCGACAAUUUACGAAAAUAACUUCUUUUAUUAUUUUCAAUUUUGUUAUUUGUUGUCAUUCAGUUAAAAAUAUUCAUAGAGAUUUGAAAUUUGGACAGAAAAAUUUUAUUUGCCUUUUCCAAAUAUGGUAAAAUUGUCAAAACAUUUAAGCUACUUUUAAGCUUUUUAUAAAAAUUAAAUUUUUUUUAUUGAAAUUCAGUUAAAAAUAUUCUUAUGGACUUAAUAGACUUGAAAUUUGGACACAAGCCUUAUAUUUGUCUUUUCUAGACGUGGUCAAAUUUUCUAACAAUUUUAACCAUAUUUGAGUUAAUAGUUGAUAGUAUUAUAAUUUUGGAGGUUUUGUACGUAAGUUUUAUUUAGUACUAUGUAGUAAAGUUGUAAGACUAAGCCGAAAUGCUUGAAAAUUUAACAGUCGUACUUUUUGUUAAAAAAAAAAAAACUUAACUAAAUUUAAUUUUUUUUGUAUAUAAAGGAAUUUUAAUAUCACAUUUUGACAAAAAUCGUUUGACUUUUUAGUUUUUGUUUUAAAAUAUUUGUAAUUUUUUAAAUUUAAAAAUAAAUUGAUCAAUAAAAAAAAUAUAUAUGGUUUGGUUUAAUUUGUAAUUUUCAAUACAACAAUGUUAAUGAAAUUGAAAUCAAUUUAAGACGCCUUUUUGUUUUUUAAUGAGUAUAAAAUUUGAGUUUGUGGUUUUGAGAUGAAAGUAAUAAAUAUAUAUAUAUAAUACAAUCGGGAAUAAUUUGUAUUUUAUAAUAUUUAAAAUCUAAUUAUUAAUUUCCAAUAGUAAUAUAAUGUGUUAUUAAUUACUUGAAAUAGGAUGAUCCGCUGAUCCAUCAACUCCGGGUAUCGUGUUUACGCCAUGCAGUGAUCUGAAUCUUAAUUUUACUUGCCUCGAAAGUUGUACUAUAAUUUAUGUAUACGAUGAAAAAGUGUAAAAGCGAUAAAUAAUAAGUUAUAUGUUUUUAUACUUAAUAAAUAUAGAUAAAUCGUAAGAUAUCCAGAUUCAAAAUUGAAUAAUUUAUACAAAUACAUUUUAAAAUCUAUACCAAUUAACUUACCUUAUUCUAUAAGAUCCAUAUUGUAUUUAAAAAAAAAAAAAUUCAAACAUACCUAAAUUUUUAUUAAUGCAGUUCCAUAUAUUAUAUUUAUACUUAUCUGGGUAUAUAAUCAGAUUUGUGAUGAGUAAAAUGCAUGAUAAGCAUUACAUUUUUUUCUAGUAUACAACUUAUAGUUAUCAAUAAUUCAAUAUCAUACAUUUUAUUUGACAUAAUUUUAAAAUCGACUUCAGACAAACUAAACUACGAUUCAGUCCCAUGUGCGCUGAGCGGAAACGAAUUAUUCAAAACGCCAGCACACGGUUGUUGUCUGAUUGACAUGGCUGAGAAUGAUAUGGGACUCGAGUUCCAUGAAGUUAUACUUGUAACUCUAGCACUCUAGGAUUUUCUCAUGAUUUUCGAUUCUUGACGACUUUUCGCAAUUUCUCGGCACCUUCUUUUAUUUUGAUCUCGCGUCGGACCACCCGCCUAAUGGCUUCCUUCAGCUCGUCCAAUUGAGCAGGAGUUAACUAACGUAUCGAUGGAAGAUAGGUCGGGAAUCGCAUGGUCAUUGUUUUUCACUAAACCGUACUCGAAACCCAAUUCGUAUGGAACGAGAUUGCACGUUUGUUUACACUGAAACUAAUGUAUCAUAAUUAAAUUAAACUAAUAUUUCUUAUUAAAUUAUUAACACAAUAAAAAUAAACAAAUUUUAUUAAAAACAGUAUUUCACUUACUUUCUCAGGAAUGCAGCAUAUUAUCAUAUUACUGAGAAAACGAAAUCCUUUAAAUAAGGUAAAAAUUAACUUAAUCAUAUUGGAUACUGUAUAUAUUACUUAUAUUACUUAUUUUUUUGUAUUUUAUAUACCUAGAUACUAAUAUUGAAGUAUAUAUUUAUGCAUUUUUUAAAAACAAACAGUAGGUGCAUUAAAAAUAAAUUAUAACCGUGAGAUUUUGUCAACGCAAUGUGCGUAAAAGUAAUAGAAAUAAUAUUAUUACAACGGAAAUAUACGCUGUGUAUAUAUAUUGUCUAUGUUUUACCCCUUAAAAGAAAAAUCUAAUUAUAAUUAUUAUUAUGUAUUUUUUAUUACACAAGAUAUUAUUAAUUUAAAUUAUUUUUGUCUAUACGACUGUCUAUAUAAUAGUUUUCUUGUUUUCAAACACAAUGAUAUACAGCAUUUUAUAAGUAUUUUAUUUUAACUAAUAGUAAUUAGUAUUACAUAUUGUAUAACAGUUUAAUUUUCUGUGUAGGAACUCAUCUACUCCAAGUACAGGAUUUAGAAAGGUUUUUGUCAUAUUCAGUUAUUUUGUACAUACUUAUAUUUUCUUGGUUAUAUGAUGAUUAAGUAAAUAUAUUAUUAUUAUUAUUAUUUUGUUUUCGUUGACGUUCAAAUUUCAAAAUUCCAAGUAAACGUUACGAACUUAACUAUAUCAAUAUUACUACGCAAUAUAUAAUAUAAGACUUAUUUUUAAAUCCCAAUAUUAUAAUAUUAUCUAUUCAAAUUUGGUUCGCGUUUGAUAAAUCUAUUUAUAUAUACAUUUAAAAGAAAAUAUAGUAUUCACUUAUAGGUACGGCAUGUGCGGAAUUUUUGAUUAGGGUAGUGAAUCGCUGUGUGUAACCCUAGAAGUUGAUUUUUUUCUUUUUAGAGCACCGUGGAGUAUACCUAUUAUUAGUAUUUUUCGGGUGUUCAAUAACAAAAUAUAAUUAAUUUUCGUUUAUAAUCUUUCAGUUUUAUCAAAAUUGUUUAAAUUUCUCUUAGUUGUAGGUAUAUCAGCUAGGUACUUACUUUCUUAUCGCAUCGUAAAUCGACAAUAAUAUAUUAUUCGUAUAUAAUAUUAUUAUUAAAUUCGUAUACAUAAUUUUCAAGUUUUACAUUCGUUAUCUUGUCGAAUAACUAUUCAUAUUAUCUGACAUAAUAUAUAGUUAGUACUUCAUAUUUGUAUACUAAAGCGUAUUUAUAGGAUUAUAUACCUAAAUUAUAGUUAUUUGUAUUUAUUUAAUAAUUUAAUAUCGUUUUAUUCAUAUUAAUUUUUAAUAUUUAACUAGAAUCGGUGAGUUAAAAUAAUUUAUCAUGCCUGGGGCUUUGUAUAGUUUUUUAUUAUUUCGGUAGCCAUAGAAGCUGUAAUAAUAUACGAGUUAUAAUUAUUUAUUUAUUUACUUAGUUGUUUUUUUUUUUGCUUUCGUAUUGUUACGUGAUAUUCAUUAUUGAUUUUUAUAUAUUGCGUAACGCUUUGUAUGGUACCUAUAAUAUAUAGGAAUAUUAUGGUUUGGAGAUGCAUGUAAAUUUAAAAUUACUGGAAAUAAUUCCCAUAUAGCUUUGAAAAGUACACCCCCUCCCCUUGUAUUAAGAAAUUAUGUUAUUUUAUUUUCGGCAGUGUAUAACCUUUAAAAGCUCAGCAUACAAGGUCAAAUAUUUUACGAAUGUUAAAUUUGGUACAAAUUUUUUUGAAAAUGGUUCAGGCUACAGAGUGUAAAGAUUUACACAGUAAAUUGGGUAAAUUUAUUACUAAUGUAAUACACAACAACAAAUGUUAUUAGAAAACGUUUACUCCUUUAUCACCUUCUCGGUGUUGAUGUUUCCAUUAUUCGAUUUUUCUCUCUAUCCAUGAUUAGACAACUGUUUGACUUAUAACUAUAACAAAUAUUUACCCAAAUUUUCGGUCGGUAAAUAUACUUACUUAAUAUUACUUAUGUGUAAUUGCUGAAUUGAUACCCAGAAUAUUUACCUACAGUUUAGACAGUAAAUGACUCCUACUCAAUGAACAUAAAGAGAGUUCAUUACUAACCUAAACUAUUGUUCAGACCCUAUUAAAAUAAUACCAGCAUUCCACAUGUUUUAUAACUCGCUGCCUCCGAUCGGUUAAAUUAAUCCGCCAAUAACGAAAUUCGUUAAUAAAUCUGUUGAAUAUUUAAAAAAAAAACUGUUUUAGGAAUAUUUUAAGUUAGACAUAUAGAUAUACUUUAAAAUAUUUGAAAAUAUACCUACUUAAAUUUGUGAUGGCGUGAACCGGGCUUAAGUUUGUAUAAAUUAAGUUUGUGUUUGCCAUGAUAUUGUAAAAAUUAUUAUUAAAAUAUCUCUGAGAAUAAUGUCGUAUACCUUAUUUUAAAUAGGAUUGAAUUAUUCAACUAAACGAAAUAUAUUCUUGAAAUUGACGAUAUUAUAAAGGCACCUAUACUUACAUAUUAUGUAGAUUAUUCAAUUAUCUACAUAGAGUCGCAGUAGUAUAAGGAAUUAUUAUACAUUUUUGACCUUGAAUUGGUUAUAAAUGAUAAAUGAUAAUAAGUAUACCUAUAAUAAUAUAAGAUAGUAUAGACGACGAAACCCAGAACAAACAUAUCGAUAGCACCAGUAUUUGGUCUCGUAUAGCAAUAUUGAAGUUACAUUUUAUUUCAUACGUUAAGUAACAUAGUUUUGUGUAUGAUACUUCGAUACCAAGAUUUCCACAUAACUCAGGUAUAACUUAUAAUCUCAGGAUAUAUUAUAAUCGAAAUUGAUUAUUGUUCCCAGUUAUUAUUUUUUUGCGAAUUUUUUUUUUAUAAAUGCAAUGUCCGCAUUAUACGCGAAGAAAAUAUUUUUAAAUAAUUUACUGGGCUAUUAUUUUAAUAUAUUUUAAUUAAUGUUUUAAUUACUUUAAUAUUCGACUUUCGUUUGGAUUUUGGCAUGAUAGAUACCUAUCGAAUUCACAAAAAACCUGCAAUAAACUGUGUAAAUUUGUACGGUUUUUACUGCUAUUAAUAAUAAUUUUUUUUUUUCCUAAUCUUUUAUCAUAUUAGAUACUAUAUAGUUAUAGGUCUUAACCCACUAACCCCGAGUGUGCAAUCAGUAUAGUAUAAUAUUAUUAUAAUAGUAUAUAAUAUAGGUUUUUAAUGUUUAGUGGAAGGGGGGGAAACCAGAAUGAUUAUUUCCAUAGACGUCACACGCAUCGCUCGUUUAUUUAAUUUAUGCGUUUUCGCAUUAAUCAUCGGACAGUGUCGUGUUGAGGGCACCAGACGAUUAUCAUUUACUAUAAAACCCGAAUAUAAUACUCAAUUGGAAAAUUAAUGGAAACUGUUUGAAAUUAAACUGAAUAAUUUUAUCUAACGUUUGAAAUAUGUGAAUAAAUUCCUAUAUUUAUUUACCUAUAUUACUACUUGUAAAAAGUGUAAAAAUUAUUUGAAGUAUUUUGAACACAGCCUGCACUUAAAUGAAUUUAAAUUCACAUUUUUCUACAAAUAAAGUACAUAAUACCAGUAUUUUAAUAAAUCUUUUGUAAACUCCAAAUCUAUCAAACACAUAUUAUAUUUAUGAUAAAUUCAUAAAUGGUCUUUAUUUUUUACUUCUUGUUAUAUAAUGCAUUUAAGAACGCAUUUUAGCUUGCAGUGUUCUUUUUGUAAUUUAUCUGAAAUAUUUAAAAAUAAAACCUAUCCAAGUUAUUUUUUUUAUAGGUUUCUAUUUCAUGAUUCGUUGCAUUAUUCGGGAUUUUUCUGAAAUUAUAAUAGGUAUCAUGUCUUUUGUUAUCAUUACCCCACAGAUGUCAUCGUCUCUUGUUCUCCAAAAUCAUAUUUGUUAGUUAAAAAAUUAUUUUUUCCUGUAGAUAUAUUAUAGAGGUAUUUUAAUAAUUAAGUUGUCGAUAUCAGUAUUCGAUCGGUGCGCAUACAUUUUGGAGCUAUUUAUGAUAUUUCACUGUAUCAGAAUCAUUUUUACACCUUCUGGGGGGUUUUUUUUUUUUGAAAGAACCUGAAUCAAUAUUUUUAAAUUGUAGCAAAUUCUCAGUGGCCGUUUCAAACUCCAAAGUUCACUAAGUUUCAUAAAAACCAUAUUUCUGAUUUCGGUUCAACUAUCGGUUGUUGCUACUUAAAUGACUUCAACGAUUAUUUGUUCAUUAUUAUAAAUUUACUUAAGGCUAUUGUAUAAAUAAUAUAUUAUAUUUAGGUACGAAUUAAGAAUUUGUUACAUUCUAGAAAAUUACUAAUAUUGGAACUUCUAUUUAAAUGACAAGGAAUCAAAUUCACAAAUUAUAAUAAUAAAUAAUAAAAAUAUAUCUUAUUGGUAAGUAAUAAACAGAAAGAUAUAAGUUAAUUCAAAUUCGAAUCUCCCAAGUGCUCAGAUAGAUUUAUAUUUUUUUCUUCCGUUUUAUUUUGUUUUUGUACACCCAUGAAGGUUCGACAUUACCUGUAAGAUCUUUCAUAAAAAAAUCCUACUGUACAAUUCAUGCAAAUCAUAUGGAUUGGUAAAUUUUAAUUGCAACUUUCUGUUAAUUUUAUAAACCAAAUAGAUGAAUAAAUUUAAACCUUUCAAACAGUAUACAUUAGUAAUUUACGUAAUUUACAGUAAGCAGUAACUUUACACAUAUAUUGUUACUGACGUGUGUUGCUAUACAUUUCAUGUUAAUUUCAAUUUAAAACUGUUUACAAUGUAGAGUUAAUCCGUAUAAUCGUUUUGCGUUUUACAUAAUCGUUAUGAUGCUGACUGACCCAAUCAAAACAAUAACCUAUUAAAAAAAAACAAAUAAGUACAUUCCUUACUUCAUUCAAAAUCUAAAAAAAAAGAAAACAAACAGACGAGAUACGUCAUAUUAUAACAAUAAAUACAGUGUACGCAUUAGGGUUACGAUUUAAAAGGUCGACCGAUUGACGUAAAUCAUUUUUCGGUGAAUCAUCUUGUAUAAUCUGUUUCGUCCGAUAAAACUAACAAUGCCUUCAACCCUUUUCGGCGCAGUUCACUGUUAUUACUUAUUAUUAUUAUAUGUUACAAUUAUAAUAUAAAACAAGGAACAUUCCGAGUAUUGAAAUAUUAAUACGUCAGUAUGUCCGCCCAAUAAUCUAAUACAGUACGCUAUAGUUAGGUAUUCACUGUAAGAUUGUUAUUAUCGAUUUACGAGGUAAUAUUAUGUAGGUACUUAAAAAGUUUAUGUUUAAGAGGACUUUAUGGUAGCGUUUGCGAUCGCUGUACUCUCUAACGGAUAAUACCAAUAGGAAAAAUUUGUUUUUUGGUAUUUUUAACAUUACUUAUUCGGGCUCUAAUACAGACUUCGUAUAAAACUCGUUUUUCCAAAUUAAAGCCUGUCAGCACAUUUUCUAUAUAUUUCAAAUAUUUUCAAAAGUAUUAAGUAUGGAUAAGUUUGUCCGAGAAUUGAUUAUCAAAAAAAUCCCCACGUGAAAACAUACUAUAGUAAAUGUUGUAGAGUUAAAUUCCGUGAAAUCAUGUUUGUUUUAAAUCUAUAAGAGCUACUCUAAAUUUAAUACCGUUGAUACUUCGGAAAUGCAUUUUUGCUAUAUUGCCCGUUAAAAAUACACAUUACGGAAAUGAUACUGUAACGUUCCAUUAAAGUACAAUCGUUACGAUUUUUUACGAUUGUAUAAUAUAUUGUUAUAAUAAUAAUCUGUUUAUUUUUAAAAAUCACGAUAGCCCUGUUACCUAUAAUAUUUGGAUAGUCUGUAAAAACUAAACAGUAUUUUUGUUUGACUAAAGGUCUAUACUAAUCUUUAUAAAGAAAAAAAUCGUUCAAAUUAUAUGCAAGACGAUUUUUUUCAAAACUUAUUUACGUAUUUAUCUGUUAAGUUAUUACAUUAUACGAAUAAUACCUAAUCAUUAAUGAAAUCAAUAAUUAUAUACAAUAUAUUAUUAUUAUGUCAAUUACAAUUUUACGAAGGUCAGUUGUAUUAAAUUAAUUGCUUUCGGCGUGUAAUUUUGCAUAAAUUCAUUAAAAUAGAGUUUAAGUACCGUGGCACUAAUAUAAUAAAUUACUUAUAUUUAAUUACACACAGAUCACGUGAGUAGUCGUCUUUAACAUAAUUUCAGGAAAAAUUAACGACUAUUACUAAUAGUGCAUUUUUUUUUUUUUUUUAUUCGAAUUUAAAUUGUUAGAAAUAUAGGUACGGAUUAUAUUAUUUUAUAUUAAAUUGAUCACAAAACUUCGAUUUUAUUCGAUUGAAAACAAAUUCAAAUUUCGGCUAAAGAAAUGAAUUUGGAAAUGAUAAUGAAAGUUAGAUUUAACAUACAAGAUAAAUACUUACUGCGGGUUAUUUGCACGUGUUGAGUGCUAACCCUUUAAUAAGUUUUAUAUAGUAAGUCAUAUAUGAGUUCAUCAGUACGAAAAUUCUAAACAUUUUGUAAAUAACUCUAUAGACUCGAGAUCAAUAUUAAAGACAAGAAAGUGUCUAGCCUAACAAAAUCUAUACGACAAAAACACAAAAUUCUUAAAAAGAAAAUUAAUUGUUUACUGAAUUCUUCGCCGCAAACACUCAUUACUGACAUUUAUAAGAGGAUUUACCCCUUCCCCUCCCUUAUUUCAAUUCAAUAUUCUUUUUUUAACUUCCAAUUCACUCUAAUUACUAAUAAUUUUGUUCCUCACCGUCUCUUAUAAAUAACCUAUAUCUACGUAUCUGGAUAUUUCAUGAUAAAAAAUACAUACAUAAUAAUAUAAUACAAUAUAUAAAGGUACAUAAAAUAUACUUAUUACAUACUUAUUUAUUUUUUUUUUUUUUAUAGUAAAGUUUAAUUUUGUUACCCAUUUAAUGUACAUUUUUAGGAAAGUAUUAGUUAUUUCAAAUAAUCAUGUACCUAGAACCACAAAAAAUACAUUUUCUCCUCGAGAAAUUAUGAGUUCAAUCUAUUGAUUUGUAAUUAUCGAAACAAAAUAGCCGAAUUAAAAGUACCCAUCUUUUUAUUUUUGUUUUUAAAUAAAAAUUUUUUUUUUAAAUACGUAUUACAUUUUCCCAUUCAAAUAUGUAUGUACUUGUUCAAAUUCUACUCAAAACUUCAAUAUUAAUGUAGAAACAAUCUUUGUACCUGAUAAUAAUUAUAUAAAAACAGAACCAAUGCAACAUUUGAAAAACCUAAUUGAUUUUAUAAUGCAUACAUGUUGAUUCUUUCUCGUGACUCAUGAAAAAUUACUGUGAAAUAUCGGUACCAAUUAUUAUAAUAUUAUAGGUAUAAGUACACUAAUUACUACGAAUAAUAAAAAUAAUGAUCCGCGCGCGGUAAUUGUCGUUAAUUUUAUACAAUUUAAAUAAUUUUAUCUUUACAAAGUUGGUUUUAAAAUGUAUAUUAUACUUACAUUAUAUUUUAUUAAUUAUAUACAGUGUACCUGUAAGUAUCCCGGUUAAAUAAUAUACUAUAAUAUAUAGGCUAUAGGUACCCACUUAAUUAAUAUGGUAGGUACAUAAAAAAAGAUUUCAUAAUAUUUAUAAUAGGUUUUUUUUUUCUUCAAAGACUGACGUAUUUGAUAUAUUAUAUAAUUAGUCACGGAUUUUUUAUUCUCGGUAAUUAUACCAUGUAUAAUACAUACAAUUCAAAUAAUUCAAUCAUCACUAUAUAUACUUAUACAAUAUUAUACUAUACCUACACCUAUACGUAUAAUGACGUUAUAGAUUAUAAUAAUAUUUAAUAUCUUGAAACUCAAUGAAGUGUGUAAAUAUAAUAUAAUAAUAUUAUUUCAAUAAUUUUAUCCAAAUAACCUUUAAAAACAAACAUUUCAUCAGCAUAAAUAAUAUAGUAUACUAAAAGUUUUUUGCCAACAGACACAAUAAGGAAUUAUUAUAUCCCUACUGUAUGUACAAAAGUGGGAUGUUGAAAAUUGCAUACAAAUUGACAAAGACAAAAUGUUUUAUAAUUUUGUUCGUGUGUGAACCCCGAUUGUCGAAAAUAAACCAUUCUUAUACAAUACUAAAAUAAUCCAAGUUCCCACGUUCGAAUAAAGCCUGUACGUUUUGCGAUAUUAUAAUCUUUUAUACACAUUACGUGUAUCAUAAAAAAAGAGCUCGUUAUUAAAAUGUGACAUAAAAAAAAAAGUAAUAUAGACCUACCUACGCGAUUCACUCUGAUAUAAUUAUCAAAUAAAUCGAUUAACACUUUUUUUAUGCAUAUAAAAUCGUGUGUAUAAAUGAAUAAAAAACUACUGUUGUAUUUAAGUACUUGGUUAGGUUUAUAUUAUGAAUAUCGUUUGUUUUUAUUUAUACUGUUUAAUUUGCAUUCAAAUUUUGUUCCUAUAUGGUGUAUUAUUUGCACGACUUGGCAAUUUCUUAUGUACACCCGUGAGCUCCGUUACGAGAGUCGAAUUUUCCCACACUGAUUUUGUAUUCAAUAGAAAUAUUCUUCGUUAGAAAUAAAUAACCGAAUCUUAUAAUAAAAUAAUGUCAUACUAUAUUAAUACUACGUACAACCUACCUUCUACUUCUCAAAAAAUUGUGAAAUUAAACAUACAAAUGGUAAGGUGCGGGGGUUAAAAAUUGAAACUUCCAGAAGGCACAUCAUUAAUACUAACAACAUACGUAUACAAAAUUUUACCAGCCCCGACUCAAUUUAGAAUGUCUGCAUGGAUAUUAAAGGGCGUGUGCAAUUCGCGCCAAAAACAACCCUGAAAAAAUCUAUGUAAGUAAUUUGCGCUAUAUCUAACAAUUAAUUUUGGAAAUUUGCACCACUUUUUAAGGUUGUAUAUUACGCCACAUAAAACUAAAUGAAAGAGCAUUAUGUAAUCUUUGCCAUCUUGUACCUACAAAAAUUGUAAUUUGCACCAUUGUUCAUCUUAUUAAAAUUGUAAUUUGUGCCUCUUCAAAAUAACUAAACAAUAUUUUUUUAACAGAUUAACAUAUUGUAUUUUUAAUCAUUGAUCAAUCUAGUUCAUUUUAAUAGUUAGUACUUUUUGUUUAAUAAAUAGGUAAUACAAUUUCGUUUAGUAAUGAAACAAAAAUAUCAGUAAUAUUAUAAUUAUAAUUAAAUGUAUAUAAGUAUACGACUUUAUGUAUAAUUCAUAUUAGAUUAGACUUAGAUUAGAUAGACGUAAUCGAUUUUGUCUCUGCUUAUUAUUAAUAGAAUACAACAAUAUUAUAUUAGAUCGAUGCAAUAUCAGUAAAUUAUUAUCAGCUGGUAAAUUCUAACAAUUGAAGUUGAAAGUGUGGCGCAAAUUACAUUGCAAAUUCAUUUUCUGUCUUGGUACAAAUCACCAAAAUUAAUUUUUAGAUGUGGCGCAAAAUACUUGUUAUAUUUACAUACGCACUUGAAUGUGCCUAUUGAUGGCGAAAAUUACAAGUAAUAAAUUUAGCGCAAAAUACCAUCUCUCAUAUUAAAAACUGAAAAACACUUUCCUUCCGCAACGACAUAUUGAAAUCCAAUCCAUCUUUUAUUACUCCGAUCUGCCUAUAAAACAUCUCUAAUUCUAUAUUAAUGAUAUAACUAAAGGUAUUUUUAGAAUGUUGAAUUUCAAAUAAUUAACUAUACGGACAAUAAAAUUAAUGGUAUUAACACUUUAUGACUAUUAUACAGUUUAUCUAUUAUGUAGAUUUAAUAUUUUCCUGUAAUGUGUAAGAAUUUAUUUUUUUAUUUUUUUUUAUCAAAUCCGUAUUCUACUUUGACUGACCUAUACAGAGAAUAUCGAUAAAAUCGAUUUAGCCAUUAUUAUUAUUAUUUUUAUUUGGUACCUAUUAAAAUACUUUUAGCACAUUAUUACUUCAUAAAUUAUUUUUUAAUUAGUAAUACCUAUAGAUUAGGUACCUAGGUAUACAAAUAUUAAUACCUAUAUGUAAUACAAUAAUAUCGGUAUAAACAUAAGUGUCUUAAGCAAUUCACAACUUACCGUGUAGACAUUAUACAAAUUAAUAUUAUACGAAAAUAUAAAUAAGUUAUUUUAGAUUUCAUAUUAAAAAUUGUGUUAGUAUUAAAUAUUUAAAAACUAAUCGAAUUAAGUAUCCUAACACUGAAAAUGUAUCACUUGAAGUAUACUCGUAUAAUAUUUCGCCCGUCAGUCUUCAAAAGUAUUUUUAGCAUAAUUCGCAGACGUCAACGUUAAUAAUCAAAUAUUUAUAAAAAUUGUAUUUUAAUGCCCACUCAACUGCACCUAUAUACGCUAUAUACCAUAUAAAAUAUUUCUCAAUUGCGUAAGUUAACAAUAUUUGGGUAAUAAUUUAUCAUUAUGUAUACGUGUUUAUUGAAUAUAAAUGAGUGAGUACGUUUCCAAAAUUAUUCAGAUAUUCAUUCUUAAUUAUUUUAUACAAAUUUCCUUAACGGAACGAAUUUAAAAACAUUGAAAAAAAUAUAUUAAUCAAGGACGGCCGGAUUUGUUUAUUAAUACGUUUUUCUUUAAACUUUGUAAUUCAUAAUCAUCGCGAAUUUGUAGUGAAAAUGCUUUUUUUUUUUUAGCUUAUACGUUACUCCGUUGCCAAAAUUGAUCAAAUCAAUUCAAUGAAUCAGAAUAUAAAAUGAAUUUCUUAAAUACAUAGUAUUAAUCAAGGACGGUCGGUCUCGUUUUUUCCCAUUGAGUUUUGUUUGUUUUUAUUUAAUUUGUCGUCAUUGAGAAUUUAUAUUAAAAAUUCAUUUUAUUUUUUUUAAGUUUAUAAUGACGCAAAUACGUACCUAUAGUCUCUAUAGAUUUUUAGUCAAAGUUUGAAUUUUAUGUAAUAAAUAAUAAUGAUCACAGUUUAGAAUUUUUUUUUUACAUUUUCAAUCCCCCACCUCUAUGUUUAAGGUAUUCUUUUCUUUUUUUUUUAAUGCGUUUUAUAGUAAAUACUAUAACCAAUCAUAAUCAAUUAUCAAACUAUAAUCAAACUCCGCUUAUAAUCGUUUUUCGUAAGCAAUGAUUAAUCGUUGCAUACAGAUAUACAUUGUAUUUCCCCUUUGCCUUUCCAAUUUUCUCAUAAAACAGUGUUCCACCCAUCAUACAAAGUAUGUCCGUUUUUUUUUUUAUUUAUUCAUUGAAAAAAAAUCUUUUUAAAAUAUUUAUCUGUAUUUGUUAAAAAAUUGAGUCUUAGAAUUUUAAGUGCAUUUUGAGUUGCUUUGUUUAGGGUUGUUUUUUUUUUUUUUAUGUAUAUUCAUUAUUCAUACAUUUUUCACCAGAAAUCUUGGUCUAAUAAAAAGUCGAGAGAGUUUAAAAUUGUUAAAAUCACAAGAUUUCUUAAAAUAUGUAAUCGAAAUCGGCUCAAAAUAAUUUUUCAUUAAAUUACUUAUUAUAUCAUAUAUCUUUGCAACUUCUCAACUUUACAACAAUUGUACACCCAUCAGCAGUAUUAGCUCUGAUAUUUAAUAAAAAAUUGAUAGAAAUUAGAUUUAUUUUUACAAGUAAUACAUUAUUAUCGAUAGGUUGAAUUAUAUUACAGGUGUAUAAUAAUACGGAUAAAAGAUACAGCUAGAUAUACAUGUAAGUAGUAAAUUGUAUUGAGGAAUGAUUUCUCACGGGUCGUAUAAAUAUUUGAAUAGUAGUACUCCUAUUCGAAUAUCUUCUUUUAUCUUCCUAUAUCGUUAUUUUCUUAGAAUAAUACUGCGCAACAGUAUUCAAUAUAAAUAUGUGUUCGUCGGUUUCGACCUGGUUUGUCCCUGCACCCGAAUAACUAACAAAAGGGAUUAUGUACGUAUAUAUUUUACACAAAUACAGGGUGAUUCUUUUAUGAUAAACCUUCAGCGAUCAUUACUAAAAAUGUUAGUAUAGUAACAUUUUUGGUAAAUUUUUUUUUCCAGUCAUGCGCUAUAGAAUCGUUUAACGAGUUUAUUUUCAAAAUAUAAACCUUCAUAUAUUCAAUCGGUAUAUUAGUAUUUUUUUAAAUUCAAAAAUAUCAUGUUUAUGAAAUCCUUUCGUAUACUAUUAUUCAUAUUCGUCUUCGAUAUAAAUCAGUUUUUUAUCGUUUUAAUCUAAAAUAUUCUCUCUUCGAAUCGUAAUUUACAAAAAAAAAAAAUAUGUGUAUAAGGGAUUGCUAUUUGAAAAUCAACAGAUAUUAUAGUGAAAUUAUAAUGAUGUAAUGAUGCGUUUAUGAUGGUGAUAUACUGAAUUAAGGUGAAUUAUUGAAAACGAUGAAACGAUUUUGUAUAUGUUUGAAAAAAAAUAACUAAAAUUUUCGUAGAUAAUCGCUGUUUCGUGGUAAACUAAUACACCCUGUAUAUGAUUCGUUCAUGCGCGGGCGUAAUCGUGUGUACAUAUGUACAUAUAUAUGUAGGUUUAUAAUAUAAAAGAUUUAAUUUAAUACAAUUUAUCAGAUCCGUCCUGUUAAAAGAAUGUCAUUAUACGGGUCUCCGAAAUAUUGCGCGUCCAUCACACAUUAAAACCAAAACGUCUGUUAAAUAUUGAUACGAAUAACGCGUGUCAAAAUCAGUGGUGUGAAUUGGCCUUAAUUUGUAAUGGUGGAUAACUUUUCGUUACGGUUAAUGGGAAUUAAAACGUUAAUGUAAAAGCUUGACAAAAAAACCGAAAUAGAAAUUGUUAUAGGAGAGUCGGAUUUUUAUUUUGAAAAAAGUUCCGAAAACAUUUUGCAAUAUAUACAUUAUAAGAAUGGGAAUUGAGGACAUUUUUUUUUAAACUAUAUUUAAACACUUUUAAAAUUCAAAUUCACGUGAUUUUAUAAAUUUUAUAAUUCAUAAAUAAAUAAUAAAACAAUUGUUUUUAAUUCUGAGUAUAGCUAAGAAUUUAUUGGUUUUAAAAAGAUGUACUUUUUUUUUUAUGUAACACUUUUUACUAGUAAGCUUACUCCGAUGAUUUUCUAAAUAAAAAUAAAAAAAGAAAUAAAAAUUACUAGGGAGGUAGGUAUUUUAAGAGGUCGAUUUUCUCAGGAAUUUUCUCAACAAAUGUGAAAAAUCGACAAAACCGAGGAAAAUCUGAAAAGUGUGCGAAAUGUAGGUAUUAGUUUAAAAAUAUUACGACCUUCUUUUUAUUUAUGAACAACUUUUCUACCAGAAAUUUUGCUCCGAUUUACAAUCAAAACAUUUUUUCUGAAAGGAAAUCUGACUGGGAAGUUACUCUAAGGGAGGUCUUUUUUGAUUUUUACAGGAGUUUUCUCAACAAAUGUGAAAAACCGGAAUUGAUUUAGGAAAAAUGGAAAAAUCGGUAUAAUAUUAAACAUUUAUUAUUGAAGAAAAUAUUUAAUGCCUAUUUAAUUAUUUUACCAUAAUAUGACCUAUAUAUUGUUGACAAUGCAUCACUAUCAACUGAACUCCGCUCAGAAUGUUUUUUCAUUAGCAAUAGUUUAUCGUUACUUACAGAUGUACACUAAAUUCUCUUCUGUAUACUACCUUCCUAACUUCCCAUCUACAACAGUGGCUGCUCCCAAGUCCGAAUUUUGUCUGUAUUUUUUUAUUAUUAUUAGACUUUUUAAUAUUAAACUCGACCGCGUUAGGUGGAUAAUUUUCAGUUACGUGUGGACAAGCUUAAUUAUGAUUUUAUAUGCUGUGUACAAAAGUCUGUUUAAUUAAUCGCUUUUAAUUCGUAGAAACCGUCUAAUAGACACUCAAAAUUUGUAUAGGUACAAUUCGUAAUUUAUGUAGUUAAUUAUUAUUUGUUUAUUUUAUCAUAGUAUAGUGUAUUAUAUCUACGUUUUUAAUUAAUGAAAUAAUCUAAUCAAUUAAUAUGUUUGCGUCAUAUCGACUAUGCUAACAUUGUAAUUUACUCAUUAAUGAGUAGAACACAAUGUUGUUUCGUUGAUUGUCAUGCACAUAAUAAUAAUAUUGUAUGGAAAGUAAAAAUAUUAUAUUAAAACGUCGUAAUACUGUUAGUAAUAAUCAAACGGGUUUCUGUGUCACACUCGUUAAAUUGUCUUGUAUAUUAUUUAAAUUAAAAUAUGUAUGAUUUGUCGCAAAUCUUUUCGUGGACUGGACGACGUCCAAAUUUGUAAAAUGCGUCCGGAUUGCGGCGAAUUUCAACGAAAAUACACGAUCAAAUAAAUUCAUUUCUUUAAUAUAAGGAAAUCAUAUUGACUAACUAUAGUAUAUGCGAUUAGUUUGUCGAUAUAUAUUAAAAUUAAUAUUAUCCUAUAGAAUAUAAAAAAGUAGUCACGUAUUAAAAAAUGUAAAUAUUUUUUUAAUCGAGUAGUAUAGUGCUGUAUUGCAGUGUCUGAAAAAAAAAUGUAUUUUAUGUAUUAUAGUCGUCUGUUUUGAGAAAAGAAAAAUAUUUUUUAUAUUGUGUGUAAUAUAAUAUUAAGGUGUUACAAUAAGAUUUAACUUAAUUCUGUAAUUGUCCAUUUUUUUUAAAAAUUCAAGAUCCGGACAGACCAAUAUAUAGGUAAUAUUAUCAACGUGUUAAUAUAUUUCAAACACAUCGUAUCUAUUAGAUAAUUACUCUCCUCUAUUUGAUAAUUGUUUUAGUUUUGCGUUUUAUGAAUAACCUAUUUGCUGCAUCUAUUCAGGAUGAUUAACACAACAUAAGGCACUCGUCAUCUAGGAAAGUAUUAACAUUUUUCAGAAAAUUUAAGAAACGAAGCCACCUUAAAAUAUUACAUUGCCGCUAUUUGUACGAGUAUAUAUAAUAUUUAUGUUACUAUCCACAGUUUCAAGGGUCGCGGGUCUGUUUAAAGGUGACUCACGAUUGUAAGGAUCGCUACAUAGCCACACGGUGACUCACGAUUUUAACCGUAACUAAACUAAACCCCUCGAAGCGAUUUUAGGCUGCAGGACGAGAGAUUAAUUAUUUUCCACUGUUGUAGGCAGGUUUCGGCGUGUGCAAGUAUACCGCGUAAAAUACCUGCUCAGUUAGUUUUGGAGAGUGACGCAUUCAAAAUAUUUUGUGUUCUAAUUAAAUAAGUAUAGGUAACUUAUUUGAAAAAUAUCGCAACGAUAGUCUCACGGGCAACUAACAAGUCAAAUAAAAAGUAAAUUAUACCUAUACGUGAUCGCCUUCUUUUUAUGUUAUAAUAAUACAUUACAAUGAUUUUAACGGAACAUUUAUGUGAGUUUCAAUCGUGGAUAAAACGGAAUAGAUUAAAAUAGUGGCCCGAGCUAAUAGAUAGGUAAUAUAAAAUUUUAUAAUACCUAAUUAUAUACGAAUCGUUAUAGAUCCUAUAGUAAUUGUUACUAAGUUAUAUUAUUUUAAUUGGGCUUAAGUAUAGGGGUAAUGAAUAGAAAUGUAGAUAGUUGUACGAUAGUAUACAAUUUUAAUUAUUUAAAGUAAUAUAUAUAACGUGCCAUUAAAUAAGAAAUCAGUCAGUUAAUAUAAUAAUACGUAUAUUAUAAUAUAGUCUUCCGUAGAACGAAUUUCAAAUAAUUCUAAUAAACUAUAACGGUCCGUUUUUUUUCUGCAACGCUUGUGUUAUAUCACGUUACAUCAUGUUAAUUAACUAACGAUCUUAAAUGUUCUAAAAUAUCUGUUUUGGUUUUAAUACGAGAAAAAAUAUAGUACCUAUUAUAAUUUUCGAGACCCUUCAAAAAACCGUUCGUUUAGCAUUUAGCACGUGCAAAAUGACGAAAAUGAUACGAUGAAUUUUGUUGCUCAGUCUUAAACGAGUGAUUCAAUACCGCCGUACCUGAAGAAUGCACAUAUAUACAGAAAUACCUAGCAAAAAUUAGUUUUUAACGAUUCAUAUUAAUGCUGAAUUACAUACAACUUUUCAGAACCGAUUACUGGUUAUCAGUUUUGUACAAUUUGCAGAGCUAGUUUAACCACGGAAUAUGUUAUAAUUAGUUUCUUUAUUAUUUAAUUAUAGUUGUCCUAUCACAUAAAACGUAAUUUAAUUUUCUUGUUAAUGAGUCGUUAUUUUAUGUUGUUUCAUAUGUUGUUACAUAAAAACUAAAAAACAAAAAUUGUCAGUUUUUUCACCCGUAUCUCUUCAUAUGGGCCUGUUAAAGAUAUUAUAAUGAUUUUUUAACGUUUUGAUUAAUCUACUUAAGUGGUUUAGAGAUAAAUUAUAUUCUUUUGAAGACUAAUGAUUUAGAUUUUAAAAAUAAAAAUAAACUUUAUUAUUUACUCUUUGUUCAAACGUUAAACAAUUUAUGACUUAUUAAAAUUAAAAUUUCAUUUUUAUUACAAAUAAAAUUAUUAUAUUAACAUUGUAAUAUUUGAUAUGGAUAAAAUUAUUAAUUAAUGUGUGUUACCAUACAUGGAUAGAGCAUUUCCAUUUAAACAAUUCAAUAGAUAUUUUCGUAAAAUGCAAUCUGUUCAAUAACGGUAAUUUUACAGAACCGAUUAUUAAACUAAUAAUUUCGAGAACUGUUUUCAUGCAACCUGAAAUUCGAGUUCAAGAAGUGAUAAAAUACAAGUUUUAUACUUAUAAUAAUAUAUUCAUUUAUGCAGAAUAAAUUAUUUGUUUAGGGUUGGGGAUUUUUUUUCAAACGGUCCAAUAUCUCCUAUAUACAGAGACAAAUUGAAUAAUUCUCCAUCAAGUGCGUUUGGAUUAAUAAUUAUUGUUUGACAGUUUACCGGCAAUAUUACGGUUUUUGAUCAUAAUUUGCAUAGUCACUGUACACCAUAAUAUAACGGUUGUAAUUAUACAACUUCAAAAGAAAAAGGAGGAAAAAUGUAUGUAUACAUAUAAUCCUUUAUUAAUAUCGAGUAGUUUUACACACGCAUACAAGGAACUUUUUUUUUACACAACACACACGUGUCGCUAACAUGACAUGCGCAUUGCUACACGGAGGUACGUGUGUUUUAUGUGACAAUGUGCGUGCGUUCAUAAGAAGAUUGACCGAUGCACUUCUUUCACGGUAAAAUGAUUGUGUUGUCGUGUACAAGUGCGUGUUAGAGUGCAAGUGCCCGUGGCUCAUACGUGACCGGAGAAUAACAAAAAAAAAAAAACAAACAAUGUUCAAUAUUGUAGUUUUAAGUGAGAAGAUUUAUGAAUGAAAAAAAAUCAACCUCCGUCAUAUCCGCUACCUCGCCGUCAGAGAUUAUAACGUAAUAAUAAAAUUAAAUAUAUAAAAUUAAUAAUAUUAUUUAGCCGCGGCCCGUAUUUAAAAUAAAAUAAAUACAAAAUUAUUUCAUCUAGUAAUCACAAAGCCCGCAAGGAAAAAAAUCGUUUCUUGCCCGUAGAUUCAUAUUAUUAACAAAUUAACCGAAAUUUUCAUCAAUUAUCAUCUAGAAAACUAUCUCAACAAGCUUGGGUUAGCAAAAUUGCACACUGAUAAGUACAGUAUAAGGAAAUACAAAAGAUUUUCGAAUUUAUAGUGAAAUAAUAUCUUGUCUCAUUUUGAUAGUUUUAGUUAAACCAAGUUCCGUUUGGCCGUCGAGUGCAUUAUAUUGAGUUCUAGAGAAAAUUGAAAUACUGCAGUCUAUUUAAAUUAUACUUGCGUCCUACAAGUGAAGGUUCGCUGGAAUAUUUCUAACAAUUCUUUAUUUUUUUUUUUUACGGUUAGCAGUGGUAGCACGAAGGAGAAAUAUUUGAAUCACGUGAUUCACAAAAAGAAAAGGGUGGCUGAGUGUUCAGAAAUAUAACAAAAAUUAUUAAGUUUUUACAAAGCAAGUAAUUUAAAGAAUUUUAGACUUCGAAAAUGUAUGGUAGGAUGAGUAGAAAAUUAAAUCGAUGGUUCAAGGUAAAAAUACUUCCUUCCAACAUUGGUGGUUAGUAAAUAUUUAAACGAUGAAUAAUACUGAAUAAAAAAUGUGAAGUAAGCAUUUUUAUUUUUCAAUAUAUCUAUAUUAAAAUAAAUUAUAAUUGCUAUAAAUACAAAUGAGUGUAAUAAAUGCAUUUAGUACUUUAUUUAUUAUAACAUGGGCGUUAAAAAAUUAUCAUUUUCAACUGUUUCACGUUUCACUUAACAUAACCUAAUUUUCAUUUUUACCGUUUUCGGAAUAAGAUUAAUUCGUUUGGGACUAUGAUUGUGUUUGAUUAUGUUUAGUUCUGUUUUCCCUUUUUUGUUGAAUGUACGGUAUUUUGAAAAAGAGCUGCACACUAAAUACCGCAUUAUUGGGAAAUUUCCAUUACAUGAGGACGUCACGUUCGCCCGUGCUGUUGCCAUCUUAACAAACUCUCGACAUAUUAAAAUUUCGUUUAGCAAGAACAACUUUUUGUUGUUAAUUUUAAUAUUAUAGUGAAUCGAUCUAUAAUACAAUUUAACAUUAACUGUGCAACUACGUCGGUUUUUUCUCGGUAUUUACGUUUACAUUUUUAAGCGAAUUAUACGUAUGAGAAUGCGAAAUAGCACGAUUAAAAAAUGUAUAUAUCUCGCUUAAAUAUUAAAAUAUCAACCGAAAAAGAUUACAAAGAAUGUUGUUAUGUUUGACAUUAGGUCGAUUCAAUUCAAUAUUAACUUAUAACGGCGUAAAAUUACAGGUAAACCUACUGCACGUAAAUUUGCCAAGUCGUACGUUAGUAACACACGGAGGCACACGCGGUUGUAAUGCCCACUUAAUGAGGUACAUUGUCAAGUGCGUUGAAGAAUAAUAUACACUGUAGCUUAGAGAAUUUCCCAGUUAGACGACAAAAUAGGUAUUAUAUCCUUAUAAUAUUUAAUAAUAAUUAACCUAGGUUCACCGUUCACCCAAACACUGCAAGGCCUAUACGCGCACGCGCGACUAUGGGUUUAGUUCAACGACCACCAGAAGGUUAUAUUGUAUUCGAUUUUGUAUAUUGUAUACGUAUAAUAAUAAUAAUAUGAUUACCGUGCAACACUAUUGAAAACAAAAUUAUAUAUAUCGAUAUCGGAUAAUAUUCAGAGAGACACGCGACCGUUAUUUUUUGCCAGGUAACAUAAUAUAUUGGCAUUCAUAAUAGUAUACCUACAUUUUUAAUAUAAUGAUAUUUGUUUCCCUUCUUGAAUCUGUCAGGCAGAUACCUAUACUAUAUUCGAGUCACUAUAUAAUAAUAUAGUAGAAUAACACUAUUAUAAUAGUGCAGUACGAAUUUAUGCAUAGUGAAACACAAAACAAAAAAAAAAAUGUGCAGCCAAUUCUAUAGGUAUUAGAGAGGUACCUAUGUGUGGUUCGGAUUUCAAUGCAAAGUGCAUUUUUUUCUACUGCUCUAGGACAAUGCGUCCUAAGUGUACGUGAUUGGAUUCGGGCAUGACGGAUACUUCAAGAGUGAAAUUUUUUCAUAGUUUUUCCAUAGAAUAUGGGUCGUAUUUUACGGGCAUUAAGCGGUUGAUGAGCAUUUUUUUGAAAUUCAUUUUGAGAUUCUGAGCGAAUUGAGGAAAGUAUUGAUUUUUCAAUGAUGUUUAUUUUAUUUUUUUAUAUACUUUGUACAAACAUUCUAAAUUUUUAUUAUGAUUUUCAAAUAUAACACUUUUUCUGAAAGGAAAUUUGACCUAUACUCUAAGGAGGUAACUUUUUGAUUUUCCCCGUAGUUUUCAUAAUAAAUGGAAAAAUCAGGAAAACUUAGGAAAAUGGGUACAUUUAUGAAAAUAAUGCUUUUUUUAUUUUAUAUUUUUUUUUCUGUAAUUCAGUUCAAAAUGUUCGUAGAAACUUUAAAUUUGGACAGAAACCUUAUGUAGACGUGGCAAAAUGUUCAAAAUAUAUGAGCUAUUUAUAUAAAUUUUAAUUUUUAUAGUUUUUAACGUAAUAUUUAUUCGGUAAGUAUUCUGUGGAUAAAAUUGUUAGAUCAACCAGAUAUGCUUAAAAAUUUAACAGGAAGUUCAUUGUAAGUUAUACUAAUGGUCGACAAGAAAAAGUUGAGUUUAAUGUAUAGUAUUUUUUUUUUUAUAGGGAUUUUAUAGGAAAAUAGUAAAUAUUGCGGUUUUUUAAAAGAUGUAUAACCGAACUCAGCUCAGAAUCGUUUUUCGUUAGCAAAUUCACUUCUAUAUCCUACUUUUCCAACUUCUCAUCUACAGCAGUCGCCCACCCAUCGUGCGAAGUAUGUCCGUCUAAUUGAAAAUAGUUUUUAGGAUAUUUAAAUCCGAUUCAUAAUAAUUGUAUGUACAACAAAUCUACAAUUUCCAAAAGGUACCUUGUCAUUUGUAUUUCGAAUUUGUAAUCCAUCAUUGUUACAGUUACCGUGAUUUCAAUAUUCGAUCUUUGAAAAUCAAAUAAAUCCCAAGACCUUGAGUUUUGAAACAUGUGACAUUAAAAUAUUUGGUUAGUAUACAAUUUUAUAACCCUCCGUGUCGUGUCGUCGUAAGGUAUGUCGGCUGCAGUAUUCGUUUCCGGUAUAUUCAUCGUAUUACCGCAUGAAACGUUAAUAUUCAACUGUCCACGUGAUUAGCAUACAACGUUAUUUUAAUAUUAUAGGUACCUAUAAAUACCAGUUAUCUAUUCGGUACGCGGUUUGGAACCUUUAAAAUAUUGAAUAUUUAAAAACAAAUUAAGAGAUAAAAAUAUUAUUAAAAAAAACCUGCAUAGGUAUAAAAGCUCUAAAUAAUAGUAUAGUGUUUCACAAACACCGAAAACAAUACUAUUUUAUUUUAUAAUUCUAAAAAUCGGAUGCAUUUUGUAAUUCGUAUUUCUUUGUAAAACUAAACAAGACCACUACCAUGUGCACAAAUUAUGUAUAUAGUAGGAAUUUUGUAAAACUUUGCAAAGAGAAAACGCAGAUUUUCAAUACCUUCCAAGAAAAUCCUGAAUUAUGAGACUGUUAUAAUCUUUGGAUCUUGCAUUCUUUCUUGAAAAAAUUAAAAAUAUGUCCCAUUGUUCAUACAGUUUUACAAGACUGCUGAUAUAUUAUGUUUUGUUUUUACUUAAAUGAACAUAUUGAAAAAUAUGGGGGACAUUACAAGAUGGAAAUCGAGAUCAAAAUGACCCAAAGAACAAUCUUGACAUCAGUGGUCGAAUGGAAUAAAGGAACACAUGAUUGAAGUGAUGUAAAAGAGAUAUCAAUAGCCAGGGAGAAAUGGAGAAUUACUGUUAUUGUAGCAAUAGGCCUUUAUUAUAUUUAAUAUGUUUAAAAAUAAUAAUCGUAAUAACAAUAAGGUUUUUGUGUAUAAUUUAACACAAUGUCUGUUAAUCUUUACUUGUACAAGUAUAAAUCAAUAGUCUUGUUUUAUACCCUUGAAUCAUAUGCAUACAAAUUGGUCAUAAUAAUAUGCUUACUAUGUAUAAUUUCAACAAUACACAUAAUAUUGCAUCAUGUUAUAAUUGUUCUACUUGUCUAGGUACAAUUCCAAAGAUACGAGUAAAUUGAAUAUCGUUUUAGAAAGUUGGAGAAAAAACCUAUUAAUCUUUUACAGAAAUGACUCAUUUUUCAACAUAUACUAAAUUAAAUACUAUAAUUUAUUCAUAAAUCUGCUAAUAUAAUUAUUACCUUAUAAACAAGUCGCUUGUAUACUACUGUCUGAAUAUACCUACUCCAACACCAUAUAUUAUUACCAUUAAAUAAUCCAUAAAAAAAAAAUUAAAAAUAAUAAUUAAAUUAUAUUAACAUUGACGAUUCUCAGUAUAUAACGUUUGACCUUAAGACCUCCUAGCGUCUGUAGAAGUAAUGCGACAAAACUAUUACGGUUAAAUUGAAAAUGACUGUUUUAAUUUUUGAAACUCCCAAAAUGAGUGUGUUCAAAAAAGGGUGUUCUACAGUUAUCUGUAUAAUAACUCUAUAUAUUAAUUUUUUUAAACGGGUUUUCUGUGAGUGGGAUACAUAUUUAGAGAAAAAUGUAAUUUUAAAAUUAAUAAAAUAGCCAUUUUGUGAAAUAUAUUGUUCAAAAGAUUUUAAUGUGUCCAAUCAUUUAUCUCCGAUUAAUAGUGCCUUAGUUAUAGUGGAUUUAAUGUAUAGAAAAUAGGCAUGAAAACAAUUAAUAUUCAAUAGAAUAUUAAGAACUACCGUGCUGAUUGUGAUUCCUUAUCGCGUAACGUGUUAUCCUAUUGAAGAUUAAUUGUUUUCACGCCAAUUGUUUAAGUAAAUUAAAAUGGUUAUUACUAAGAAACUAUUGAUCAGAUAUGAAUGCAUUUUACUUUAAAAUUUUUUAGAAUAAUAUCUCUUAAAAAAUGGUUAUUUUGAAAAUUUUGAAAAGUGAAAAAAUAAAAAGUAAUUUUUUCAGUGAUUAAGGGUUGAAAAUAAAAAUUGUAUUUUUCUCUACAAAUGUGUUUCUCUCGCAAAAAUUCCGAUUGAAAAAAAAAAUGAGUAUUGACAGAAUUAUUAACAUAAGGAUAAAACAGGACAACCUAUAUAGGUAAUCCCUAUUUUCCUAUAAAUUGGGAGAAUAAAAUACUAUAAGUACAAUGGCGUGUUUUGUGCUUAUUAAAAUACAUCAAUAAAAUUGAGACUCUCGAAAAUAUCUUUCUGGGUAAAAUAUUAUAAUAUUCAAUUUCUGAGAAAAACAAAAAUAGUUAAACGGGAGUAGCAAGAUUUAAGCACUUAAAUACUUAAUACAUAACAUCAUUAUUAUAAAUGUUUAUUGACAUAAUUCUAAAGUAGAACAAGUUAUAAAGAUCAUAUUUCUUAUUCAAUAAUUCAGAUAUUAUUUAACAAUAAAUAAUUGUUCAAAUAACCCAACAAAUUUUAAAUCAAAUAUGAUUAAUAUAUUUUAGGUAUAAAAAAUAGAAUAAUCGUUUAACAUUUUGUUAUUUCGCGUUCUGUUAUUUUGGAUUUGAUUUAUUUUUUUUCUGUUUUUUUUUAUACCUUUCAUAAGCAUUAAUCAAUUUAUGUAUACUAUAAUUAUUUUAAAACGAAUUUUGUAAAUCAAUAGUAGAAACAGCCGACGUGGUCAACGUGUUAAAAAAGGCAGUGAAUAAAGUUACUCAAUAUUUAACAAGGAAAAAAGACGAAGACGAGAUAGUUAGAAUAGCUAAUGGAAACCUUAGGGAAGAAAAACUAGAAGAAAACGUAGGAAAAGAUUUAUUGGCAUGGUAAAAAAGGAUUUUGAAAUCUUAGAAGUUGAUAACUGAAGAGAUUUAUUGUUCAAGAUAGAAACAGAUGGCGAAAUGUAGUUAUGGCGGCAAAAAGAGAGUGAUCGGGACAAAAGAAGAAAGAUAUCUUAUUAUCUUAAUUUUACUAAUAUUGCAUUCCGUUUUCGACUAACCAUUACCAUAAUAUUAUAUUUGCUGUUGGUUAGUGGAUUUCCGAUUGAUUUAAUAUUAAUAAGAGCAUUUACUUUAUCAAUGUUGCACUAAUGGGUAACAUAGACAAAUUAUGCAUUAUAAUCAGAACAAAGAUGUUGUGGUGCUUAGAUUUAAAUUAGAUCUUACAUAAAGAACAUAAUUAUUUUAAAAGGAGAAUAUUUUCGUUGGCAAUACGUUUCUGUAUUAUCUAAAAAUUGUCAAAUCACAAAGUUAAAGCCAUGCUAUUUAUUAAUUUUUUUUUGUCUGAUAAUAGUUUAGAGAAAAACAGCAGCAAUGUACUUAUUGUCCCCGAAAAUAUUCCUAUGUUUUGAAAGUGCGUAAGUUAUAUUUCGGUAAAACUCGGCAGCGUCGGUUGUAUAAUUUUAGUAAGUAUAAAAUUAAAUAAUACCAACAGCGGGCGUGUUUUUUGUGGAGAUGCGUUUCGAUACGACGCAGUAACAGUAGAUUUUUGGACACGAUCGUUGUUUUAUUUUUAUUUUUUUGUUUAUUCGAAUUUAUAUUAUAUUAUUCUGUCGUCUUUUAUAUAUCGUUUAAUUAAAAGUGAAAAAAAAAUAUAUUAUUGUAUGUAUACUCUCGUAUAAUGUCCUGUUCGUGUGGUAGACUGAGAAACGAAAAUAAUCAUUAGGUAUAUAUUUUAUACGGAUAAUUGAACGCGUUUUGACUGGUCCAAAGACAAAAAAUAAAAUAAUCUGGCAAUAAAUAUCAACAUGUAGUCGUAUAGCUAUUAUAGGCCUGCGGCCAUAUUAUUUCGAAGUCGUUAUAAUAUCGUGCAGCCCUCGUGUAAUAAUAUUUAUCACCUACAAUACAACCCGAGUUAUAGCAUAAUAUAUUUUUAACCUAACAGAACAGCUCUUGGACCGGGUCUUUUUUUUUCGUAUUAAUUAAUUUUCUCUUUUCUAACGUAUUUUAUACAUAAAUUCCCAUGUUCACUGACGCAGAUGGCUCUGCACACAGAAGACAUUAAAGUGAAAUGUUCCAUCGCUUGCGUCCCGCAUGGCCGCUGUUACUGCGCCAAUGGAAACAUCAGGAUAAUAUUCGAAUACAUUAAAUACAGACACGACCGCUUGUAUACAUAAAUAAACGCCAAAUCAUUUUUCCAUUGACUGACCGAGGAGCAGACAUUUCUUUUAGAAAAAUAAAAAUAAAACGUUUCCUGAAAUAAAAAUUUAAUGAUACGACGUAACGUCGUAUAAAAAUAUAAUUGAGUCGUUUGUAUGCACAUCACGUACUUGUAGGAUAUACAAACAAAUAUAUAUUUUUAUAGAGACUGAAAAAAUUAUUUAGAUUUCAUCGGAUAUACGAAAUUAUAAUUUGUAGAAUUACAUUUGUAAAACAAAUUAACAAAAAUAGAUAACAAAUAUUUAUGAUGUGUCCGUUUUUUUACGUUUCUCCAUUUUUCCAUACAUAGGAAGUACUAUAGGAGUGUUCUGACUUGUGAUAGGGGGAAGGGGGAUGUAAUACCUAAACUAAUUUUUCAAACAUUUUAUUCUCUAUAAGCACGAAGUAGGAAGCACAAUGUUUUUCUUUUAAUAAUACAUUAAUACAAAGUAAUUUUUUAAAAUCAUUUUCGUACUUGGUGUUUAAAAUUAAAUUUAAUAAGCUAGAGUCGUUAGAUUGGGGGACUUUGAAAUACUUCUACUGUUUUUGUUUUUUUUAAUAUUUUUAAGUGAUGUUUUAAUGGAUUUUAAUUGCAACAAGUCAAUAAGUUAUUUUAGUGUGUUUUUCUUUCGUUAAUUAAUAAUUAUUAAAUUAUGUUUAAAAAAUGGUGUAAGGGUAGUGUAUGAGGCAAAGCGCCCCACGGUUAGUAGUUUGAGUUCAAUAAUUACAAGGAACAAUAAUUAUUUUUAGUCUUAUAGUCCCUCGUAGUUUUUAUUUUUCCACUGUAUUAUGUUUUUUUUUUAUCAUUAUAAUCGCAUAAUAUGAUGCAAUAAUUAUAAUAUUUUAAUAGUAAUAUAUACAUACCUAUAUAAUAGAAUACUAAUCUCUAAAGAAGUUUUUACGUUUUAAUUUGAUACGGGUAGUCGGUGUAUGCGAGAGUACAUAUUACAUCAUUCGGUAUAGGUUUGAGAGAAAAAAAAAUAUAAUAUAUAAGACAAGUUUUGUGAAAUAUAACACGUCAGCCUCGCCGCUACAGGUUUGUCGUUUAUUUAGACGUCGUCGUUUAUCAUAUAUGAGUAAUAUUAUUUUAGGCCUCCAAAUUCAUGGUCUUUUUCUUAUAGGUUUAAAAGUUUUUUUUAUCGGCCAUGUCUAUUACAAAUUAUGAAUAAUGUUAAAAAAAAAAAAAGAAAAACUGCAAUACAGUAUAAUUGUUUUAUUUUUCAUUUCAUUUGUAUUGGUUUCGUUCGAUUUUUGAGGGAAACUCUAAAAAAUGUUUUCAAUAAUAUGUUAAUAUUUAAUGUGUACGUAAAUAUAGGCAAUUUGAUUACAUAUUAAAGUAUUUCAGUUAAGCUACGUUUUUGUAUGCCUAAAUAAAAGUAAUUAAUUUUCGUUUCAUAUGCAGUAUUUUUAAGUUAUAAUUCAACGAUUUACCUGUACUACAAAAGAAAAUGACCUAAAUUUAAAAUAAUAUACAUUUUCUUAAUAACUAUUGAAAAAAAGAAAUAAAAAACCAUUUCAAAUUAUAUGAGGUAUUUAUCGUCAUAAAUUUAAGAUAAAUGCAUUAUUAUUAUUUUAUAGUUAUAUUUUUUCCUCUAUGGAAGAUGUUUGUGGUUUUUUACGAAUAAUAAGUGUUUUAGUGUACCUAUAUAGGUGUUAAAUAAUAUAUUAUUAUAAUUAAGUCGUACUAACAGUAUAAUGUGCAAUGUGAAUUCUAAAACUUUUUUUUGUAAGUCAAUCGUGAAUACGAAUUUUCGAUAUUUUUCUAGUGCCAUAAAAAUAAUUUACGAUGAACCUUUUAUCAAAGUUUCAAACAUUUUUAAGAAACCGAAAAAUGGGAAUUAUUUGGAAUUCAAAAAAUUAUAAUAAUAAACAUUCUAACUAUAUAUUAUUAUUGUUACAUUAUCAUCUCAUGCCGUGGGAUGAAAUGUCGACUCAAUAAAUCCUUAAUAUGAUGAGGUCAUUUUGUUAUACUAAAAUUAUCAAAACCUAAAAGAUCACUUUUUAUAUUUCAGGCAUCAAUUUAUUGUACUCGUAUAGUUGCUUAAAAAGCUAAAAUUGUUCAACUUAAAAAUUUCGUUAGCAACUACCGUGAUUAUAAUAUGCUAAUUUACUAGCGCACGCAAUUGCACGAUGCGUUUUUUGCUAUCAGAUGAGUAAAUACUUUAUACUAGUUGCUCGUGGAAAACAUCUAUGUAUAAGCGAAUUAUUAUUUUGAAAUACCCAAUAUUUAUUAAUAGUUUUUAGAUAUGUAUUUAAAAAUAUGAUAAUAUUUCUAUUAUAAUAAAACAUAAUGUGAUCAGCGGUUCUAUCAAGAAUCAUCUAGGGUGAUCAUGGGGUCUUGAUCUCUAUCUCCCAAAAUUUGAAUAUAAUUUAUGAUUUUGUAUAAAUUGCUUAUACUUAUAUCUUAUACUUUUAAUGUAACUAGUUGUUAAAAAUGGACUCCCAUCAGGCACCAAAAUGAAAUCCUAGCUAUGUUACUGCUCGCCGGUCAAUUCCGCUCCCAUAAUAGAUAGUAGAAGACUUGUUAUUUUAUUAUGAAUGUCCGCUCUCAGUUGCAUUAUUACGAAUUUUGAUUGAAACGGAAGGACUUAACUGACGCUGAAGAGGUCUCGCCGUUAACAUUUGUUUUCUCAACUGUCUAUCUCGCACGUAUAUUAGAGCGACAAAGGUAUUUCACAUUCCCACGAUUGCGGCUCUCUGGUCGAAUUUAUGGAUCUAUUAUGCAUUUUGAAAGAAGAAAGACGAAAGAUCCUAUGAAGGAAUUUUUUUGUUUUAAUAGUUAAAUUCUUUCUUAAUAAAUUAUGAACGGUUAAAAUCGAGGGGAAAUUCAAACGUGCGUGUCUUCAUAAAAACCGAAAGUAUUAUAAAAAAAAAUCAUCGUUCACUUCAAUACGGACGGAGAAAACUAAUGUUAAUGACGAGUCCUUCUUAAAAUAUUACUAUUAAUAUGAAUAUUUUUCGAACGAACGCCGAGAAAAUAAUUGUACGCGCGCGUAAUAUGAUGUUAUAAAGUAUAUAACGUGAAAUUAAUCGCAUAAUAAUAUAGUAGUUAAAAGAUACCCGGUAAAUUAAAUUUGUUCACACUGACGCGUAUCGUCGGUAUUAUGAUCAAUUAAUACUAUCCGAUAUUAUCGAAAGCAUAAUGUAUAUUAUAAUAUGUACAAAUGGUUAUGACGUACAAAUAUAAUAUUAUUGAACACGAGACGUGAACUUAAAACUACCGAUGCCACUAUAUAUAUUAAUAUAUACACAAAUCAAAAACGAAAAGAUAAUAAUAUACCGUACAGACGUUUCGAUUAUUAUUAUCAAUUAUAUUGUGUGUGUCUGUGUGAUGAUGAAGUGCUUUUUAAUCUGCAGAAUUGCAUACGAGUCGAUUAAUAAUGUAUUUAUUUUUUUUUAUUAUUAUUAUUAUUAUUAUUUAUUUUUUUGCAGACGCUCAUCAAACUCGCUACAAGACAUUAUUAUUAUAAUCGGCGGCGGUGGCGGGUAUUUUAUACUACCUAUACGUGAUGUGUAUUCAUUCGAACGACCGAUUAAUAGGUCUCGCAUAAUGUUGUAGACUCGUCGAAUUAAUAUUAUAAUUGUGUUUAAUAUAAUAUAAAAACGUGCCAUAAUUAUAAUAUUGUAAUAUUAUUAUCGAACGUGGCGCGAAACGCCGCAAUAUAAUACACACCUAUUGCAUAACCUCAUUGACCAAAUGACCGAUCGUCGUCGCCGGUCGCCGAUUAUAAUAAUAAUAUUAUGCGCGCGGUCCUAAUAUAAUAAUAAUAAUAAAAAAAAAAAACAAACACCUAUCUAGUCUGUUAUCAAGCAAAUGCGUUAUGAAUGAACGAAUAAUAUUAUGCUUGAACGGUCGAGUUUAACCGUGUUUACGAAAUAAGUCGCGGUCUAAACUCGUGAAUAUACAGGUGCCAGUAUAUUAUUCAAACGACCGCACGCGUCUCCGGUGUACACGAUAUAAAUAUUGUGUUACUAGCUAUAAACAAAAAUAUCCGUGUAAUUCGGUGUGUGUAUAGUGCGUGUACAGUGUACAUGAUAAUAAUGUACGAUUGUGUAUAUUUUUUAUUUUAUCGUGUAACACGUGUGUGAUUAUUACGAUGUUUUUUAGAUUCUGAGCGUAGUGAGGGAGCUAUUGGUUUUACAAUGUUGUUUAUUUCUUCUUUGUUCUAGUCUGUGGACACGUUAUUUCCUAAUAAAUAUGCUUUGAUAUAUAAGUGUAGCAACUUUUCUGAAAACUCCAGUUGUCUAGACUGUACUUUAAAGAAGUAAUUUUUUUGAUUUUCGACACCAUUUUUUAAAUAAAAGCACUUAAGUGAGGAAAAACUUAGGAAAACGUACAAUUUCAUUACUUUAUAAAAACACGGAUGACGUUUUCUAUCAGAAAAAAUGAUUUAAUCGAAAAAUCAUAAGAUACCUUUUUUGUUGUCUUUUGAUUUACUUUCUUACGAUAUCAUCGAUAAAACUUUUAAGCUUUUAAGAAAUUUAAAUUUUCGGGAGUUUUUUGGCUGUAAUUCGGUUAUAAAUACACGUAAAAACAUGAAACUUGGUAAUAAUACUUAUAUUAUAGAUGUGAUCAAAUUUUCAAAAUCAUCGGACGACUUUUUUUUUUAAAAAAAUUAAAUUUAAACGAAAAUCGCAAAAAAAAUUACGGCACUUCAGAUUAUGUGUUACCGAAUUGCGCUUGGAAUCGUCUUUCGUUAAGCAAUGGUUUAUGGUUGCUUACAAAUAUAAAUAAAAUAACCUUAUGUAUUCUACCUUCCCAACUUCUCACCUAAAACAGUGACCGCUCCUAUCCCCCCCCAGUAUCAGCUCUCUCUUUUUUUUUUUUUAUCUUCUCGGUCAAAACACUUUUACGAUUAGAAUAAUUAAUCGAAUAUUUCACGCGCAUAUCUAUAUUAUGUAUAUAGGUACCUACCGGAAAAAUACAAAGAUUUUCCGCCUGGCGAUACUUUAUUUGAAACUUUUUUUUUUUAAUUACUUUUGUUUUCCUUAAUAACGGGUUGUUAGGUCAGGUUAUAUGGUUAUUAUAGUCCUGAGUAUAUAGUUGUCACAUCGACCAAUCAAUCAUUUUUAGAUCGCAAUAAUUUGUCGUCGCUUUCAAUAAAUGUUAACUAAAUAUUACCCUGAAUACACAUUACACUUUUUGCCUACAACCGUCACCAUAAUCUGGUAGGGCUGAUUUUUUUUUUUAAUUUUUUUCUGUUGAAAAUUUGUCGUAAUAGUAUUUGUUUUAUAAAAUAUAUAGUCUAAAUAAGAACGGCGAAAAGGGUUAAAAAGUGUCCAACUUAGAAAAUGUGGUAGUUAUCAUAAUCGUUCACAAAAUACAUUUCGUAAAUUGACGUGAAUCUCGCAAAUAAUAUAUAAAAUUUAAUCGUUAAAAACGAUUAAUGAGCCUAACCUCCACAAAAAUACGCUCAGAAUCCUAAAUGGCCUUCUACAACUUGUGCAUGACACGUGCACAAUAUACGCACAUCAUUAGCUACGCGGUUUUUAUCCAUAGCUGUGUAUUUGUAACUAAUAUAACAUAUUAUAGUAUAAUAAUAAAUAAUGAAUAUAAUUAAUUGAUUUCUCGUAAAUAUGGACAUUUUUUUCGUCGGGCUUUCUUCGCGAUUAUCCGAACUACACAAACGUUAACGAAACAUAACCGAACAUAGGUAUUUAGAUUUUGUAAGAGUUUUACAAAACACAACUUAUACCUUGUCGGUCCAAACCCGAUGCUGCUCCAAAGAAAUUAUAUCUUAAUUAAAUUAAACUUAUUAUUGUACGUAUAGUAGACGAAAAAUCACGUCUAGUUGAGUAUUUACACAUUGAUGUCACACGUGAUGCCCAACUCAGACGGGGUCUGUAAAUACGCGACCGGGAUUACACGUGUCCGAUUACAGCAGUGCACUAAUUAAUUCGCAUCGUUGUUCUGUCUGGACGUUAUGUCCCGAAUUCGCAUUUCGCUUUGAUUAACCUCUUGGCUAAACUAGAAAAAAAAAACCACGACUGUCGACUCCUUGAACCCUAGCGCAAGUCAUUAUACUCUACUGAAACCGCGAACUCAGGUUAAACACGCCGAAUGCUUGGUUAUAUAUUGUGUAUAUUAUUUUAAUCAGAAUUUUAAUACAGGUAGAGAUAAAUUAUAAUUUAUUCAGAAUAUAAUAUGUACAAUAUAAUACGUUUCGUUCGAAUACACAUAAAUAUUAUACAAUUUUGUAAAAUGAGGUUGAACUCUUGAGCGUAACCUAAUCGAACGAUAAAAAAAUAAAAAAAUUUACCGUUAUAUAAUUUUAUAAUUGUACCCAUAUGUAGGUGUACCAGUGAGCUCAAGUUGUUAAAAAAUCACAAACAGCGUUUAUGAUUCGAAUUUUUUGUUUUUUUUUUUUUUGAAUCGUUCGAAUGAUUUUCAAAUAUAAAUUCAAAUUUGCUAAUUCAACGCAUUCCAAAAGAGAAUGUAACACAUUAUAACAUUUAUUAGAAAAUGUCGAUACGCAUAAUUAUUUAUAACAUCGCGGAUAUUAUACUUGAGUCGUAUAUAUUUUUAAGACCGAACAGUAAUAUACAAUAAUAUCAGGGAAAGAUAAUAAUUUUCAUUCCUAUCCUAUAUGUAUAUCAUUAUAGUUAGAAAAAAAAUCAAAUUUAUUUGAAAUAUCUCCGUGUACAAGAAUCGCUGCAGGUCCUCGAUAAAAUAUAUAGUCACUCUGUAUACACAACUCAUUAUAAAAAAAAUACACGAUUAUUUUAAGCGAACGCGACAAUAUUCUGUCUAGACCGUUGGAGAGUAUAAUAUAUAUUAUUCAUUAUUAUAUUUAUAUAAGUACUUAUGUAUAGACGAUAAUAUUAUUAUCGAUUUACUAUUAAACUCUAUUAAGAGUUUCGCCGAGUCUUUGCUAAUGCGUAUGUGCGUCUCUUUGUAUGCGGCGCGAAAUUAGCGAAAACCGAGCAUUAUAAAAUAUAAUGAAUAAGCGAUUAAUGUAUAUUAUACAAUUCUAUUUCUUAUUAAAGAAAAAAUUUAAUUACGAUUUACAAAGAAUCUGAAGUAGCAAGUACAGUGAUAUAGGUAUAAUAUUAUAGCAAUACUGUAAUAAAACGUUUGUCGGUUUUGCAGAGCAAACAAAAAAAACAAAAAAAAGAACUGAUACUAGUAUCCACUGUUGUAAGUGAGUAGUUUGAAAAAUAGGAUAGAUAGUUAUUUUUAAUUUAUAUCUGUACGCAACGAUUAAUCAUUGCUGACUAAAAACGAUUCUGAGCGGAGCUCAAUAAGACAUAUUUUGAAAUACUAUAGUUCUUACGAUUUUCAUCAAAAUUUGAUAUUCAAAUGCUUAUAAAAAAAAAAAAAACUAAUGCAUAUUUGUUUUUUAGAACACUAAGUAGGUAUAACUUAUAAUGCACCCUGUGUUAAAUGUUCAAGUAUUUCUCGUAAGUCAUAUAAUUUAAUAGCCUAAAAAUAACUAAAAGGAUUUGAAAAAUUUUACCAUGUCUACAAAGGCCAAUAUUAUUAUUUAAAUCGAAAUGUCGUAUACACUGCCGUAUUUCCUACGUUUUUUUCCGGUGUUUCGUAAUUAUUUGAAAAAUCGUUCAGAAAAUCAAACAACGGUUUUCUUACUCAAAAACUAGACAACAUUUUCUUUCAGAAAAUAUGCCAAUCUUGAAAUGUUGACAAUGUUUUUUGGUAGAAAAACAUAAUCUUAAAACUAUUAAAUAAUGAAAUCGUUGUGCCUUAGUUUUGAAAAAAUGUAUUUUUCGCCUUUUUUGGAUUUUUCUAAUUAUUAUGACAAUUUCUUUAUAGAUAUUAAACAACUACCUUUCUCUAUCAGUGAUUAGAUAUUAAAUGGAACAAAAUCGAUCAUCUGUUAUUUUUCAACUGGAACAAGAUUUCUGGUAGAAAACAUCGUGUAUAUGAAUUUAAAAUAAUGGAAUCGGUAACGCCGUGGCGCGCUUUAAAUACUCGUAUUUAUUUUGUCGUUUUACCGAUAAUUUUAUUUUCAGUUUUUGAAAACCCCUUGAAAAUUUAAAAAAUGACCUCUCUAAUGCACUAACUAGAUAAAAUUUCCUUUCAGAAUAGGUGCUACAUUCUAUGUAUCGGAGUAUGAUGUCUAAUAGUAAAGUUGUUCACAUAUUCGAAAAAUAAAAAAAAUAAAUACAAAAACACACAUCAUAGUAAAAUCAAUAUAUCUCUCUCGAUAUACUUCAAAUCUAAAAGAAUGUUACAUAAACGAAAAUCAAAAAAAUUAAAUAAAUUAUAUUAUAACAAUAGUGGCGAUUAGUGGUUACGGCAUGCUUUUUUUAUCAGUCUGUUAUCAACAAUAAUCGGAUCAUUUGUCUCCAAACAAUUUAAUAGUCCCAAUAAUAACGCCCAUAUUUUUUUUAAUGCUUUACAUAUGAGUAUUAUAUUAAAAUAUAUCUAUAUACAAACCAAGAUUACACUAUUAUUCAAUAAGAGUUACUCAAAUGAGGUUUAUAGCCAAAAAAGAAAUAUAUAAACCUGCUUAAAAUUUAGAAUAUAAAAAUAUGAAAGUUAUACUUUACCAUACAAUAUUCAUAAUAUAUGUGUAAAUACAUUUUUUAUUGGAACCAAUCAUACUUGAUGCAGAUUGUUAUCACACAAUAUGACAUCACACUAAUCGCCGUAGUUUUACUGUAAUUAAUUUAUAAUAUUAAUAAUUUUAUCGUUAUGAUGAUUUUAUAUUGGCAACUCGACCGUUUUUAUAAUAAUGAGUAGGUACCUACAUUCUCGUUGAGUCCGUUUCCCACGCUCCGAAUAAGUCUUUUUCUAUAUUUUCUCAGAUUUCAAUAAUUUAACGAGUCUGCAGUAAUAUAUACGCAUGCAUAUAUUAUAUUAUUAUACGCACGCGCAAGAGUUUCUAGUGACGAAAUUCGCCGGAAACCAAACUGUCGAUUAAUUAAAAUUCCAUAAAUGUUCAGAAAUCGGGUGAUGUCUGAGUGUCUGAUGUACAUACGGAUACGUGAAACGGCAAAAAAGGAUAAUUAUACGUAACGUAGUCUUAUUAAAAAAAAACGACGAGCUGAUAAUUUUGACGGAUAAAUGUGACACUGUUUGUAAGUGGGAAGAUAGGAUAUGCGUAAAUAGUUAUAUUUAAAUUAAAUCUAUAUGCAAAAAUUAAUCAUUGCUAACGAAACACGAUUCUGAGCAAAGUUUGGUUUGAAAUACCGCGAUUUCCAUUAAAAUUUGAACCUUGAACCUUUGCUUACAUAAAAAGAAAAAAAAUUAUCGUACAUUACACUGAACUUUUCGUUUUAUAAUCAAGUACAACUUAUGACGAACUUCGUGUCCAAUUUCGGUGCAUCUUUGUCCGGCCAAAACUAUUUUAUUCACAUAAAAUCAAUUGUCUAUAACUAGCUAAGAAAUUGCCAUAAUUUUUUAACUAUGUCUAGAAAAUUAGGUUUAUAGAAGUAUUCUCUGAUCAUUUUAGGUCUCUGCGAUUAUUUGAAUUACAACAAAACACAAAAUUAGGAAAUAACGGAAUCGAAAGUGACGGACAUUUUCCCGUUUCCUUACGUUUUUUUUUUAAAUAUUAAAAAACCUUCAAAGAAAAUCAAAAACCCCGCUAAUAAUGCACUAACUAGACAAAAUUUGCUUUCAUAAAAGAUAUUACUAAUGAAAAUCGGAGCAAGAUGUCCGGUAGUAGAAAUGUUAACGUAUACAAAAAAAGCAUACAUCAUAUAAUAAAGUUCACUGCGAUUAGAAUAAAAAAAAUAUUGUAAAAUUGCUCAAAUAAAAUAUCUUUUAAAAAAGUCUGAAGAAAAACCCCUUUCAUAUCGUGAACAUUUUUUACAGUUUAAAAGUUAAUUUUGACUAAAUUUUUCUAAUCUUUAAAUUUCCUCUCUAUAAGCAUACUUUCGCAAGUACGUACAAAGAUGCCCGGCCUUUUUGAAACGUUUUUAAAUUUGAACCCGUGUCCGUUCCGCGUUUAGCGAUUCAUUCUGAUAAAAUAUUAGCUGUUGUAUUUUUUCGUCGCUUUCAUUUUUUUUUUUUUUUUUUUAUUAUUUUUAUUAUUUUAUUCCAAUCCAUUAUCGAAAAUUAAAUCAAAGAUUAUUUUCCAAAAUAUCACGGUGUACAGUUUUUUAUCGGCAAGUGCGAUUUAGAGGGAAUAUUAUAGGUGAGAAUUUGGGAAGGUAGGGUACAUAAGAUUAUUUUAUUUAUAUCUGUAAGCAACGGUAAACCAUUGCUAAUGAAAGACGAUUCCGAACGCAGUUCGGUAAUAGAUAAUUUGAAGUGCCGUAAUUUUUUUUAACCUAUCCUUUCUAUGUUUUUUUCUGAUUAUUUUAAAAACUAAUUAGAAAACUAAAAAACGACCAGCAUCAUUUUAAACGAGACUAAUAUUUCAACAAAUUAAGUCUCUUGUCGUUUUUCAAUUGGCGCCAUAAUUGUGCUAGAAAACGUAGUAGGUACUUAUUUAAAAUAACGAAAUCGUGAAAAAAUCGUAUUUUUUUCCCCGGUUAAUCGUUUUUGUUUUAAAUAUCCUUUCAAAAAUCAAAAUAUGACCCAUGUAUUUACUAAGUAGAUAAAAUUUACUUUUAGAAAAGGUGCUACACUUAUGCAUCGGAGGAAAUUUUUUAGGAUAAAAGUGGUUUACAGUAUAAAAAAAAAAUAGAGUACUAUUGUAAGAAAAAGAGGAGAGAGAAAUUUAAAAGAGGAAAAAAAGUAGUCCGAUGAUUUUGGAAAUUUUACCACGUCUAGGUAAGUCCAAUAUAAGUACUAUUACCAAGUUUUAAAUCUCUGCGUGUAUUUAUAACUGAAUUACAGCAAAAAAACUCUCAAAAGUUUAAAUUCCUUAAAAGCUCAAAAGCCGCUAAAAAAAAAAGGUAUCUUGUGAUUUUUCAAUUAAAACAUUUUUUCUGGUAGUAGAAAACGUCGUCCGUGUUUUCCGUUUUCCUACGUUUUUUCCCACUAAAGUGCUUUUAUUUAAAAAAAUGGCGUCAAAAACCAAAAAACAACCUCUCUAAAGUACAGUCUAGACAACUUGAGCUUUCAGAAAAGUUGUUACACUUAUACACCAAAGCAUGUUUACUAGGAGAAUACGUGUCCGCAGACUAGAACAAUGAAGAAGAAAUAAACAGCAUUGUAAAACCAAUAGCUCCCUCGCUACGCUCGGAAUCUAAAAAUUAACCGAGUGAUCCGUAUUACACGAGCGCGUGUUAUAAUAUUCGACUCGGUCGAGGACCCCGGCGGCGGCGACGGCAGCUAACCCUCGUCACGCCGCCGCCACGUGAUUCACACGUACCGGCCACGAGUUUCAAGAGUGUGACUAACGCCGCCCGGAAUGCGUGCCAGAAAAGAUAUCUCUCUAUGCGUGGCGCGCGGUGCGUCGGGCACGUUGUCACAGGAAAGCCACCGGAUUCCUCCUCGCCGUCGUUAUGGCGGCGGCGGCGUCCCGUUUUCUCGGAACGCGCGAGGAACGUCUGCCCUUUUUGCCGUACAAACGACGACCGCAGCGCCGCCGCCGGCGCCAUGUGCUCUCGCCCCCGUUGUACAGGCCGCGGCGUUGUAAUAAACGACGACGCACAUCAUAUUAUUAUUAUUAAAUUGAUAUUAUUAUACGCGCGCGUCGUCCUACGAUUUUUUCUACGUGACUCAUCGAAGACCCGGCGUCGAGUUUCCCGCCAAAAACAAGCGGUAAAAAAUAAAUUUAAAAAAAUGAGCAAAAUAGCCGACAUUAUGCGGGCUUCCCUUGAGAAAGUAGAUACAGUUAUAUUCAAAAAUUUAUUUUUGGAAUAUUGGCUAGUUCGUUUUUUUACUUUACGAAAUCAUUAUAGGCUAAAAAACCAUACAGAUGACAAUGAUUAUACGAUAAUUUAUACAUACAUGUAUAAGUAAAAAUGAAGUAGACAUGUCUGUAAGUUUUGUUACAUAUUAUUAUUAAUAGUAUAGUUGUUUCGGGGAAUUUAUUCGCAGGGAUUUUUUUCCGGAGAUUUUUUUCGGAUUACUUGUUACAACUCUUACAAAGUUCAUAAGUUCGUUGUAAGGGUAUUUAAACCCCGUUAUCUCCUGUAAAAACAUGGUAACUGAGCAUAAAAAUGGUCGGGAGAGUUGAAAGUUUGGGCCAAAAUACAUAUCCUUGAUACUUACACCGUGUAUAUACAAACUUAUAUUCCUCUGGCUUCAUUUGGAGGUCAGUAGGAGUGCACAAAGCUAAAAAAACCACUCUAAUUCCCAAGUUUGAGUUCUUUUGGUUCAAAGGAAGGCUCUAAAAUUGUCCAAAUGUAAUUGUUAUAUAUCACAAACACAAUACAGUGCAAUGUUUCUAUUUUCGAGGAAAAUUCAAAGAAAACAAUUUUACUAAAAAAAUAUCAGUUUGAGUUAGACGACGUGUGUACCGUUCGCUUCGAGGAGUUUAUUGCAGAUAAAUCGACGUCCGGUCUAACAUCCUCGCACCACUGGAACCGAGUAUACAGAGUUGCAGCUACACAGCUUCAAGUGACUCGAAGAAAAUUAUGUCACACUGUAUACAUACUUUAACUAUGGUAAUUGCCAUUCGAUUAUUUUAAUCAAUCUAAUAAAGUAGUUAAUAAAUAAAAAUAGUAUAAUACCUACUUAUGCAGUCGAGUUUACAAGAUAAAUCAACUGAAAAAGUAACGCGUCAUAUUACCGAAUUAUCUUCAAAACAUAGGAAAACAAACCAUAGAUACAAAUAGCUUUUAUAAGGGGCUUAGUCUCCUAUAAUAUAAUUAUGUAUACUAAUAGUGUUUACUUAAUGAAAACUUAGUUUGUGUGGUUUGUCUGAGUUCUAGGGGCUACUCCCAUCCAUGCCGCUCUCCUUAAUUUGCGCCAAUAAAAAUAAAAUAAAAUUAGUAAAAUUUUAUCCAUCUUUAAAUGUAUAGCAGAAACUUUAUUUACUUUAGAAACUAAAUUUCCUUAUUGCUUACCAAUUUCCGCAUAUGAAUGUGUAGCUUAUAAUAUAUUAUAAAAUCAAUCUCUCAAUCUGUAUCAGCUCUCGCCAAAUUAAAUAAAAUUCAAAGGGGGCACGGAAAUAGCCUUCACGCGGUGGCCCGCGGACAACGACAGCAUACUGACAGUGAAUGGAAACGUCAAUAUGAUGACGGCCAAUCUUUCCAUUACUAUCACUGGUCGGACAAAAAAAAACAGUAUACUAAAAUUAUUAUUGAAUCGUAAAAAUAGGAAAAAUGUUCGCGACAAAUUGUAGGUAUCUGUAUGUAACAAUUAUUUUACACAAUGUUUCGUUUUUCGUCUCUUCUUAAAUUUGCGUAUUAUACACAAAUUAAUACUCUAUUGCAAUUUGCUGUGUGUUUUUUUCAGCAGUAAUAGUUUUCUGACGAUAUUUUCGAAAAUCGGUGAGUGCACACACAUACACUUGAACUCUGUUUGAAAACGCAUGACAUAGCAAAUUCGCAAUCAGCAAAACUAAUUUUGAACUCUUAAUAGUAUUAAUAUUACAGUGAAUUGACACAUUAUUACACUUAAUGCUAAGAAUAUUAUCUGUGUUUAUAUGAUAGUCUUUCUGAUACUUGAAUUUUUAAGCAAAAUAUAAGCCUUUUUAAAUUAUUAUCAUAUUUUAUACACUGGUAAAAUAAAACCUUUAAGUUUGAUAAUAGAUAAAUUUGGUUUAAAAUUAACCUAACAGUACAAAAUUUGUUGCGCUAACGCAAAUUUACUAUGCCGUACAUUUGUAAGACGAAGACAACAGAUGCAUGACGUGUAUAGUAAUGUAGCGCCCUCCUAAUAUUUCUGGACAUUUUAUCUCGUGGAGACUCCUUGAACUCAUUAAACGUCUCCGUUUACCUCCCAGAAUAGACCGGACGACGACGACUUUGAUGAGAAGCUUCACCGGCGGUAGGUAUUAAAUUACAUCAUCGCGUAGUAAUAAGUGUAAAAAUACUAUGGCAGCAACACAGGAAGACGACUCACCUCCAAAAACGAACACGGGUAAAAUCCCUCUGUAUAUAUUUAAGGGGCUAUCAAAGUGAAAUUGUCAGUCUGUCAAUAGGCAAUAAAGCAACGAUUUGUUCGCGUAUAACAAACGAAGACCUUUAAAAUCGGUUUUAAAGGUAAAACACAAGUCAUGCAAUUUGUUCGACACUAAUAUUUUCAAGAUAAUCUCGUUAGCGUUUUACAAUAUUCUUUAAAUAUUCAACUUAUUAUCAACUUUUUUAAGGUUUUGAAGGUAAACAAAAAAACCUGAUGACGUUGUUUUAAAAAUAUUUGUAUAGAUUUUUUAUCUCUAAAACCGAUUUUAAAGACAUUUUCUUUUGUUUUAUACGUGAAUAAAUAUUUUUUAUAUUUCCCAUAAGAAAAACAAAGCCGAAAAAAGCCAUUGUGAAGACUUUUUAAGAGGAUACUAUAUACUCACAUUUAUUGUCACGAUCUAACUAACAAACAAAAUGGAUAAAAAUACGUUACUUAGAAUGUAAAUUAUUCGGGACGUUCAGGUUGAAAUUAGAAUUUUAACACAAAUACGAAGUAUCAUGAGAAGAAUAUUUCUUAGAGCUGUAUGCCUAUACGUAGCUGUUUUCAAAAAAGUUGGCGUACAAAAAAAUUACAACUAUAUUUAAAACAAAAGAAAAUCAAAAACUAACAUGGCCAUAAAAAGCUACGUAUAGCCUUCGAAAAUAUUCUCCCCUUAAAAUGUUAUUAAUUUAUACAUUUAAACUCUAAUGUCAACUUGAACGUCACCUUUGUGUUUCAAGUAACGUUAUUUUGCUAUGUCGUGUGUUGGAAUAAUACGGAGACAGUAGAUGGUGGUAUGACAUUAUCUUUAAGUACCUAGCGUAUAUUAUAUUAUUAUUUUUUAACAAUCAGUCGGAUUACGCGGCUACGAUACGAAACUACCUGUUGUAACCGAUCACCACCACACGCAGGGACCUGUUCCGCCUAGGGAGGAAAACGCCGACGUUAUAAUAUUGUAAUAAUAAUUUUACGGCGUCCUUUUUUUGUCUACUAAGAUCUUUAUUUUUUUUAUUUUUUUUUCAGAGAAUAUGAUUCACCAAAAAUCAAUUAAUCUUCUCCGCGUUCGGAAUCCGGAAUUUUUUUCUUCCCCUUCGACGACGCUCGACGGUAUUAUAUAGUCAUAAACAGUCACGUGGAUCUAUAUAAUAUCCCGCCGCAGCAUUCCAAACGAGACACGCACACUAUAAUCAGUAUAUUAUACAGGGUGGUGAUUUGUUAUACGUUUCGCGUAUACCGUAUAUUAUCACGUUAUCGUGUUUAGACGCGAUAAUCCUAUAUUUGUCCCAAAAUACUCCACCGCGAUCUAUAUAUAUACACCGAUGUACAUGUAUACCUAAACAUUUGUUUAAAACCUUUAAAAACGGUACCUAAACCAAUUUCAAAAUGCGGGUGAAAGGGUUGGUUGCUAUUAGUUUGAAAAGUCCUAUAAGCAUAUAGCGGUUAGUAUGUUUUUUUUUUAUAUAAACGUACGGAUUAUAAAAUUGGAAAUAAUAUUAAAAACAGCGUCGUUAACAAACGAUCAUCUUUGUCGGUAGGUAUCUAUAACGACUGAGAAUUUCCACUCGAUAUCGCGUAUAGAUAAUGGCCGGUUCGCGAUAAAAGAAUCACCCUGUAUAUUUCCUAUACAGUCGUCGUACACGUGCAUCGUCGGUUCGAGGGAUUUUUAUAAACGUUAUUUCUUCGAGGGCAUAUUUUAUACUUCCACGACGACGACGUAUACGUGCGUGUGCACACGCGUAUAAAACGGCUACGAGGUGGUCCCUAAAAACCGUUUUAGAACGUCUACGCGCUCGUGGGGUCAACACACAAUGCUUCGAACACAGUAUAAUAAUAAUAAUAAUAAUAAUAAUAAUACAAUAAUAAUAUAUUACGUUCUAUAUAUUUUUUUUCUUUCAACCGUGCGUUUUAUAAUAAACCUAACUACGCAAGUCGAAAUGUAAUCAUGCUGUGUCCUAUAAAACCCUUCAAAAUCCGAUUUCCGGUAAUUUGUCCCGUAUCACUAUAUACCGGUAAAUUCCUUCUCACUCUCUCUCACUCUCUUUGUACAACAAUAAUAGUCGAUUAUAAUAAAGUUUAUAUUAUUUUCACUUCGAUAGAACCUGCAGUCAAAUGCACCCUACAUGAAACCACAUAAAACCGAAAAGUGAAAAGUGUCUCCUUAUCCCCUCCCCCCCCCCAAAUAAAAUGCAUAAGCAAUUACAAUUUUUAAACUUAUCUACAAUGCCAUAAUACGAAAUAACUGUGACUGUGAUAGUGACGCACUAAAAAAACAAAAAUCUUAAACGUAUUUAAAAUUUAAAAAAAAACAUUGAAAUGUAAUAUUUUAAAUAACACAAUAAUUAACUAACACUAUAAUAUAAUUAAAAAUUAUAUAUUAAUUGUCUUCUCAUUAUUAAUAUAUAAAUAUGUAAAUGUAAAAAAAAAAAAAACAGAAAUUUGUAUUAUCAUAAACGCAUAUUUUAUUAGGUAGGUGCAUCCUAAUUUCACUACUAGAGUGUAACUAUGUAACAUAUUAUGUAUUGCAAUUAUUCACAUUACCUCCAAUAUUAACAAAUCGCAUUUUUGACAUCAAUUUUUUUUUAUAUUAUCUUGUCGAACAAAUUUGAGGAAUAUCAGUAAAAGAAUGUUAACAAUUUUUCAAAAUAAUUACAGGGAUAUUCACUUAUUGUCUUCAAAAAAAAAAACUUUUUCUUCCAAUUAUCAAUUUUUCUUUAAAACGCUUUUUUAAAGAUGCAUAACAUUAUAUGAAUGAAUACAAUAUUAUAUGUAUUAUGCUAUUGUUUUAACUAUUUAAAUGAAAUAAUUAACGUUUAUAAUUAAUUAUAAUUAUAAGUGAGUUCAGAAUGAUUGUUUCUUAAUAAUAAAAUAUUAAAAAGUAUUGACUAUUAAAAAUGAUUUCAAUGGUGUAUUAUAAUGUAAUACUAUUUCGAUAUUUUGUUGAAUAAUUUACUGAGUAAUAUCAGAUUUUGAGCAUAGCGAGAAAAAUUUGUCGGUGGUCUGUGUGCUUUAUUAUUAUUAUUAUUAUUUUAGAUUUUGAGUCCUAGAUUUUAUUCGCCUAAUGGAAAUUCCUUAAAAUAUCUUCUGGACUUCCUAUACUUAUACUUAAAUUCUUGACCUUGCCUAAUAUUAUACUGCAGCUGAAAUACGAUCUUCGAAAUUAUCAUCAUUACGAUCAGAAAAACAUGAUGGAAAAAACAAGUAUUAUUUUACAGUUGAAUAAUUUAUGAUAACAUUAUUUUAAAUUAUUCGCACAAUUAUUGCAUAAUAAUUUUUUGUAGAAUAUAUUAAAUUGAAAGGACAGAUUUUUUUUUCUUCUUGUACCAUACGUACCAUAUAAUAAUAUAUUCACAUACUGCAGUUUCGGAUCUUCGACAUGGUUUGACGCUUUACACACAGCUACAUGUAAUCAAUUUUUUAUUUGAUUCACCUUCAAUUGUUUCUUUUUCCUACUUAUAUGUUAGUGAAAUACUACAGAAAAGCGUUCGAUAUUUGACCUUGGCGGUCACUACAUAAUGUUUUAUCAUAAAAUAAUCCACACAAGUAUAAAUCGAAUAAGUCGAGUUGACAUGAGUUGUGCACCUAAAUGUUUAAAACGCCUUAAUUAAAUUAUAAUAAAUGGAAAUCUAAACCUUUAACUUUGUUAUUUAAAUGAUAUACAAAAGCUUUCCAUUCAAGUAAUAGUUUUCGCAAGUUUUUUUACGAGUUCCAUUAAAAAUAUUGCCGUUUUUCUUAGGGCAUUAAAAAAAUACACCACCGUCUAGAUCAGUAUUUCUCAACGAGGAAUAGAGGGGAAAAUUCUUUACUAUGAAGGAAUUUAGGUACUGCGGGGGGGGUAAUAUAGCGAUGAUGAAAUUUUAAGAAUAAAAUAUGAAAUAUUUAUGUUUAUCUAAAACAUAUCUAAAAUUAAAAUCAAUAAGUUAAUUUUUUUUAUUAAUAGGGUAGGGAUAAGAUUUUUGAAAAUCUACGAGAGAGGCACAGACUAAAAAAAGUUAAGAAACACUGGUCUAGUCUAGAUCUAUUGAAUGCUAAAAGAUAGCUAUAUGAUAUGUAUUCAUGUAAUUGCAUAAAAUCCUCACGGGUCGAAAACUCGGUCGCACUGACAGAAAAAAAGCGUUCAAAUCAUAGUAAAAACUACAAUUUUUCAACAUAACUACUACGCAGUUUGUUGCAAAAUUUCACUUAGAAGUGUAAAAUACGGAUUAAAUAUUAUUAUGUAUAGAUACAACGCUGGAUUUGCAAUAAUUAUAUUGUAUAUAAUACAAUUUUUAUAACCAUAUAUUUAAUGAUAAUAAAAAAUGGGUAAGUUUAUUACAUUAUAAUUUAUGUGUAGACGUAUAUAAUUAACCGUUUUAAACAAUUUUAAUUUAAACAAAUUUUUUUUUAUAACAUUCAAUAACACGCAAAUACUCGAACACCUAUAUAUGUAUAUGUAUACGUAUUCCUUAAUGAUAAACGUACUUAAUUUCGAUUAAAAUAUUUUAAUAAUACAGGCGCACUACCACAUUCCACAUAUACCUGCAGUUACCCAUACUUUUUUAAACGAUUCUAUGUUCUCUUACGGAUGCCUAUAUAUUUUAUAAUGUGACCUGCAGGAUAAUAAUAAUUAUAUUUUAUAUCGUUUCGAUACUAUACCUAUAGAUAUAAUGUAUUAUAUUCGAUUGUGGAGAUUGACCGUAGGAAAUUUCGGAAGAAUGCGAUAGGUAUUUUUAUACACGGCAAUCAACAUAACGUGAGACACUCAUUAUCUCAGAAAGACUUAACUUUUUUCGGAAUUUGUGGUAUUUUAUUAUUUCAGAAAAAAAAUAACUCUAAAAUGUUAUAUUACGGUUAAUUUUUGUUACUUUUUUAUUUUAAGGGAUGACAUCGUUAUUUAUUUUUGAUUUUUAAAUGGCAAUCUAUACUAAAAAUUCCAUAAAUAGAUGGAGAAUCAAUUAAAAUAAAUGUUGGUAUUUAAAUUUAUGAUUUCUGUCAACUCAUUGAUGAUAUAUUUCACUUUAAAGUUUAAAUAGGGGAAAGUUGUAAAACAUACUUUUAAGUUGCCACACAAAUGAUACACCACUACUCCCGCCGAACCUAAAAGUGAAAUACCUUAUUAAUGAAUUGACAGAGAUUAAAAAUGUCAACAGCAAAAUUGAUUUAAACUAAUAUUUCAUAUAUUAUAUGGAACUUUUAAUGUAAAUUGCAUUUCGAAAGUCAUAAGUAGGUAGUGGUUUUGCCUUCUAAAAUAAUGAUGAUAAAAAAAAAAAAGGUAAUGUAACAUUUUAAAGCUACUUAUUUUUUAAUGAUUAAAAAAAAAUGUUAAUACUUCCCGAGAAAACGAGUGUUUCACGUUAUGUUGAUCACCCUGUAUAGUAAAAUAACUAACUACCGAAAACUGUUUUUUUUUCUGUAAUGCAUUUCUAGGUAAUAGUGUUGUUUAGGAUUUUGCCAAGAAGGGAGGUAUUGAACUUUGAAAUAUUUUGUUAUAUAGAUUGUAUAAUAAUUAUGUAUAACUAACGGUGUAAUACAAUUGACAAUAUGAAAAAGAAGGGUCUUAUAUGGCUAGGUAGUAAUUUAACAUUUUAGAUUCUGAACUUAGCUAGGAAUUUAUUGCGGGUUUUUUUUUUUGUUUGUCUAUAUAUUUUCUACCAGAAAUCUUCAACGUUAGCAUCUUUUAGAUUCUGAGUGGAGCGAAGAAGCUUACGGUUCUUAUUUAUUAUUAUUGUUUUUUUUUUAUCUGUGAACAACUUUUCUAACAGAAAUAAUGCUCCAAAUUACAAGUGUAGCAUUUUUUCUAAAAAUAAAUUUGAAUGGUACUUUAAGGAUGUUAUUUUUUGAUAUUCCCAGGAGUUUUUCCAAUAAAUGGAAAAACAUGGGACAAGUAAAAUAAUGGGAAUUCGGUACAUUAUUAAACAAAUAUUACUAAAGAAAAUAUGUAAUGCAUAUGUAAUUAUUUUGCCAUAAUAUGAUAUCUAUAUUAUUGAUAAGGCAAAACUAUCAACUGACCUCCGCUCAGAAUCGUUUUUUCGUUAGCAAUGGUUAAUUCUUGCUUUCAGAUAUUUAUACAAUUUCCAUCUGUAUCCUACCUUCCCAACUUCCUACUUAUAACAAUGGCCUGCCCACGUUCGAAGUAUGUUCGUCUUUUUUAUAAGUCAAUUUUUAUUUGUUUGAUGCUUUAGGGAGUUAUUUUUUUGUUUUUCUUAGGAAUUCCAUUAAAAAAUAAUCAUACCUUACCCAAAAACCGAACGAUUUUCUUUAUUUGUUUAUUGGUUGAAGACCGUUAAUUUUUAAUUAUUAUUUUUUUGUUCAUUUAAUUUCUGUUUUACCAUGUUUACACGAAUGUAUGGAUUACUCAACAUCAAUGGUUCGCCGGGACCAUUAAUUGCAGUUUGAAAAUUGUACCUUUUUUCACAAAAAUCAUGUUCAUUAAAAACUGAACUUUACUCACAAUCAGUUCUUUUUUUAAAAUUAUUUAUUACUGUCCAUGUGUAGUAAUAUAAAACCUUGGUAGACAUUCACAUUAUCCAUAAUUUCUCCGAAAUGAUCGUGGCUGUUUUUUACGGAGAUAUUGUCUCUUCUUGGUGUUAUCAUUUUAUAGGGUAUCUAAAAUUUUAAAUCGACAUUUUUACUGAAUACCUAUACUAACACUUUCGAAGAUUUGUGACAUUUGUAAUGCGUCGACGAAUAGAAAUUCGAAAAUGUUUAGAUACUACAUGCAGUCUAGAUGUGAUGUGAAUAAAAUAUAUAAUUAAACUAUUGUACAUUUACAGUAUACGUUUAUUGAUAAGCUUCAUUAGUUGUGAAAAUGUAUAGUAAGUAAUAGUAAUUUCAAUACGAUUAUUUACCGCAAUAAUUAAUAUAAUUUAACCUAACCUAACCUAACCCAUGGGCUGUAAUAAUUGACAAUUAUUAGAGCUAUUAUCAUUAUAUUAUGAUAGUAAUUAUAUUAUUAUGAUUAUUAUUGUUAUUGAGGUUCGGAUGUUUCUGAUGGUGCGUAUGCGUUUUGUUUUUGUUGAUCUGAUUUAAUUUGUGUGGUGACCUAGGCAUAAAUUUGUUUAUUUGUUAACUAUACAAUAAUAUGACAUGUAGUUUAGGUAUACAGUAAACUCAUAAAUCGCAUUUUAUUUUGCUUACUUACUCAGUAGUUUUGGAUUUCAAGUGCGUAUUAUUUUAUCAAACUGCAGAAAUACAUUUUUCAGUGGGUUACUUAAUUAUUAUAUUAUUAUAUUUUUGUUACGACUUGGAAUUUGUGAUAAAAAUUUCUUACCGAAACAAUACACAUAUUAUAAAAAUAUCGAAAACCCUUUAAAAUAUAUAUACAGGACCUACGCGCAAUACUAAAAAAUUAAAUUUUGAGUCAAAUAAUUUUAUACCCUGUAAAAAAUAUUUGGUUACAAAAAAAACCGACGUAGUUGCUUAGCAUCAGAGGUGUAGUGUCACCGUUAAAUGUGGAAAUUUGGGAAGGUAAGAAUGGUAUAUAGAUAUGAAUUAUAUAUUAUUUUUAUUUAUACCCGUGCGUAACGAUAAAGCUUUCCUAACAAAAAACGAUUGUGAGCGAAGUUUGGUGAAACGCGUUUGAAUAAACACAAAUUGAACAAUGUAUAUUAAUUUUUAACUACAAAAUAAAAUACAAUUUGUCCGUGCUUUUUCGUAUUGAUAUUUUAGCAUUUAUAUAGAACCAAACAAUUCUUAACCACAUAAAUACCUCAAUCAGAAAAUAAUACGCGAAAUUGCCGUGAGUUUUACGAUUUUCAUCAAAAUUUGAACUUUUUAACUCAACCCGUUUAUUACAAACAAAUUAUUAGAUUAUGUCUAACUUAAUCUAAUAUUAAUAAACUAACCAUUCCCUUCUCCCCAUUAAAUACAACUAUUAAUGAAUAUUGUGUCAAAUUUUUGAGCAAUUUUGCCGAGCAAAAAUAUUGUAUAGAUAUACACAAAUCGGAAAAUAAUCGGUAAUUAGCCGUGAUUAUUACGAUUGUCAUCAAAAUUCAAACGUUAAAUGUUUGUACAAAAAGAAAAUUCUGUCUAGCUAUGGAUUUUCGAUAUUUAUUUAGUGUUAUAUUGUCAACUUACGAUGUAACUUUUAUAGAAUUUUUCUAAACAUUUUGAAGAUACUAAAAUAUUAGAUCCAUAUAAAACUAAAUAAUACAAAUAAAACCAUACAUUUAAAAUAACUUAAGAAUUAUCUGAAAUAUGCUUAGAAAUUUAUACCGAGUCUCUGGUAAAAGGCUAAUUUACAUAUUCAGUGAACAUUUCUAAUUUCUACGGACAUUUUUCACCGAAUUACUGAAAUAACAAAACUGUUAUAACGUAAAUAAUCCCGUUUUUCACUGUUAUUAAGAAAAUUACAAAAAAAAAAAACUGCCUCCUAAAUGCACCAUCCAGCAAAAAAUGUCCACCGAAAACUGUGCCUUAAGUCCAUCGAUGAUCUGAUUAUGAUUUCUGGUAUAAAAGUUAUUUACAGACACUAAAAAUUAAAUAGAAGAAAAACACGCUCCAUGACCAUAGUAAAAUCAACUAUACUUCUUGCUAUACCCAAUAAAAUCUAAAGCCACGAAAAAAAAUUAUGCAAUAUGACCAAAUAAUAUUUUAUAUUAGAACUCGACAUUAUAAUAUAUUUAAUUCUCUGUUGUAAUUCAAUAAAUUAAAAUAUACUUUAACUAAGUAUUAUGAUAUUUAUAUAAUGUAUACAUUUUAUCAAAUACAGAUUUUCAAAUUCUUAACAAAUAUUUUGUCGGUGUAUCAUAAUAUUUUAUUAGGUGCGUAUUGCUGAGACUUUGGGUGUUAUGCGUUGCUAAAUAAAAUAUGUUCAUGAAUCAUACAUAGUUACCUAUCUCAUAUGAACUUAAACGUAUACCUACGUGAUAUUUAGAAUUUGACACUAUUUUAUCAUUUUUCAGCGAAUACUUUAACCGUACUAAUAUCAUCUCGUAUAUUAAAAAACAAAAUAAAUUUAAUAAUUGAACAUUAAAUGAAAUAAAAAUUGCAUUAAACCUUAGAGGGCAUUAAAUCUUAUUCUACUUUUGCAAGUACCUAUACUGUACUUGCUAUACAUACUAGCUAUUAUUAUAAUUAUUUAUUUUAAAAAUAUAUAUGAAAUAAUAACACUAAUUAAAAAAAAAAAAACAGUAAUUUAGUAAUAUAUAGAUUUUUCACUGAGUGUACGAACACCAAUUACUUACACUCAGAAUGUACAAUAAUAAUAAAUAUCUAAACAAAUACAAUAAUCGGAUUGGAUUUUGUUUACAUAUAUAAAUUAUUAUAGCUAUAUGAAUGUUUGAAAAGGGAUGUAAACCCUCGUGAGGGAUAAAGCCACCCCUACUCUCCCACGGGUUAGAUUCAGUAUUCAAUUAUUGCAAAAAUCGGUAGGUAAUAUUUGUUUUUUUUUUUCUAAUAGUCUCGUAUUAUAUAGUAUAGUAUCCCCCUUUAUUAUUUUUCUACUUAUUCGAGCACACGGUAUAUAAUAAUAUACGAGCUUCACGAUGGUUAACGAUAAAAUUGUAUUUACGACGAUGAUGAUAUUCUGAUAAACAUUUUACGUCACAUUUGUAAUAUUUUUUGUAUAAAAAAAAAUAUAUAUAUAUAUGUGUACAUUUAAUAUUAUAAUUGGUUUCCGUGUAGUAUUAUAUUAUUAAUCGGCUGCACAGUGUGAUUCGUAGCCAAAAACUAGAAAUAACGCGUACGAGACGAUGGUGCGAUGCCAUUAAAAUUAAUGGUUUGGAAAUCUCUUUUUUAGUUAAAUACUCGGAAAUUUAGAAAUCUAAUAUUACGCUCCGCACUGCCUGUUCAUUUUAUUCACGAGAAGUUUUUUUUUUUUUUUUUAAUUGGAUUGAUAAUUAAAUUAAUUGCGUAGUUUAGUGUAUCUAUUAAUAUAAUAUGUCUAAAUCGCAAAUUGGAUAUUGUAAUAAAUCAUUGAAUUUCCAUAUCGAUAGGAAGUGAUAUAUUAAUUACCUAUACAUUAUAUAUAUAUAUAUAUACACAUAUUGUUAUUAUUUUUUUUUUAAUACGUUAUUUAAAACCGAACUACAAUGCGUAUUCAAAUUAAUGUAGGUAAGUUUUAUGACCUCUUACGCGGAACGAUACGCGUAUACUAUAAUAUUACGUGCAUAUUAUAUGUUUAGACAAUAAGUAACUAAUACGCCUCUUAUUAUUAAUAUUCUUUUUAAUAAAAAUAUUAUACCAUAAUGAAUCUAACACUCCGAACAAAGUACGCGUCCGAUGAAUUGAUUUUCCGGCUUAAAACAACCACCCGAAAUCAUUAGGUAUUCCGAGUAUAACGACUGCGGGGUCUUAUGUAAUAUUACAAAAUACGCAAUUAUAUGAUUUGGCUGAAAUAAAUGUUUUGCUUCAUAGAAAACGCAUCUGUUUGUCGUACAAAAAUCAAUUGUAUCCAAUGAGUGUUAUAGUAAUCAAUAUGACUGUUAGUUUUAUUUACUAGAUCGGUACUCAUCUAACAAGAAAUUAUAUAAUACAUGCCUUUACGUUCGGGUUUUUUUUUCAAAUAUACUAACUGUUAUGACAGUAGGAGGUACCUAUCGACGCGUUUUUUUUUCGUUUUAAAGAAAGUAAAUUUGAAUUUGAAAAAUAGGUAGUCGUAUAAUAUGAUAUAUAGUUACUAAGAACGAGUAUAAAGGGGACAGACGCAUCUCCCUAUAUCUUCCCCUUUAAAUACGCCACAGGGGUAUAAUAUGAAAUACAAUACAUUGUAUCGUCUCCCGGGCUGCGGCGCGUAUUAUUAUUUAUCAUAUCUAACUCGGCGGCGGGGCGAGGGAAAUACCUAUUAGGGGUCGCAGAAAUGGUUUUGACCACACCUAACCGUCCCCGCGAGCCGCACACGCGUGACUCGAUCGGGACCGGGCGAAUGGGUGUCCCGCGCGUUACGUUGAAUUCCCGUUGCGGAAUGUAUGCGCCCGUUCGACGCGCGCGUCAACCACGAGCGUUCGCAUCGAAUAAGACGACAAAACCGCGCGCGCGGAGUCCGCGUCGAACAAUGUCGUCGUCGUCGUCGGCGGCGGUGACGGCGGACGGGAGGCGGGAAAAAGCGACAGGCGCAAAUGACGGAGGGUGGCGUGAAGACGAGCACGUAUGCUUCAGGUAGGUACGGGCAGGUGGGCAAGCGGCUAUGUUAUUUUCGAAAUAACGAAAGCGGCUGAGGUGUCGCGUCGUCGGUGGCGACGGCGUGACGGCCGCGGCGUCGUCGCCCCACACAUGCACGGAAUUGCAUCUCGUGCAACGUUCCGACGGUGUUUCGUCAGCCGAUCGUUUCUCCUCCUCUCUUUUUAUUUUUCUCUCUUUAUAAAUAAAUAUAUAUUAUAAUAUAGGCUACCUGGCGACGACGGACACGGCGGCGGCGUACGAUGUGUGGCACUCGUACGCGCCACGCCGCCGCCGAGUCACAAUUUUUUUCUUUUUGCCCGUGCAGCGUGUGUCUGAGCGCAUUAUUUUUAGAACUUAAACAUUCUUCGUCAUCGCCGGCCUUAUCCUACAAAACGUACGACACCACGUAUAUAUAUAUAUAUAUGUAUAUAUAGUAAGUAUAUAUAUAUAUAUAUAUAUAUAUCUAAUUAUAUAUACGUGUAUACUGUUAUAUUGACAAUGCAUCUCGCUCAUCGUGCGUGCGGCCGUUACGUAUUACAGUAUUGUAGUCGCCAGACAAAGUCGUUCGGUAAUCCGAACGAAAAUUUCCCGGGCGGGAAAACCUCCCCCGAGAAUAAUGGAAAAAAAUCCCCGACCGCCGUUUUUGACGAAUUUUCCCCGGAAAUAAAGACUGUUACGCUGUAGCAGUAAAAUGUCUGUACUGUUGUACCAAAAGCUGAUAAGUGGCCAAAAAGUCGAUUUUUGGAUUAUACGUGAUAAUAUCUGAAGAAUAACGUUGACAUUGUAUUGUGUCAAAGUACAUGAUUGCUUUUAUCCCAUAGAAGUCAUAAGCCAAAAACGAUAUGGUUAAUGGUUAGGCGGAGGAAAUAAAAUUGUGACAAUACGUGAUAAUGAAUAAUGAUUAAUGAGCUAUAUCGACCGAAAAUAAGUGUUGUCAUCAUUAAUGCCAAGACACAUAUAUAAUACAUCAUCAAUGUUAUAUAUUUCGUUAAACGUUUAAAAGAAAAUACGAAUAAAUUGCAUACUACCCGUCCUGAACAAUUUAGUUUUAAUAUAUUUUAAGGGCGUCAAAUUUGCCACUUAUAAAGACCGAAUAUAAAUGAUGAAUCACAUUUUUUUUUAAUUUACCACGUACAGUUCUCUCAGAAGAGAAUCUUUUUUCGAUAUCUCAUACCGAUAAUUUUAUAUAGGUAAUAUUUUUUUAAAAAAUUGAUGUAAAACACCAACAGGUAAUGUACUUAUUCGUCUUUUAUGUUGUCAUAUAGACACCUUGAUACUUUAAAUGACCAAAACAAUUCCUAGGGCACUUACGAAUUUCAAUCAUUCUAAAAUGUUCCAAGGUUAAAUCCGAUUUUACAUAAUAUUUUGUGGUAUUUUUUUUUAAAUUUAGUAACAAGCAACAAUAUUACAUACAAAUUAUUUACUUUGUGUAUGUUAAAAUGUUACCCAAUUUAAAAUUUUUGCUUUUAACAGUAUAAAUAAAUUAUAAUUUAAACUGUAUACGUUUUUUCUAAUUGUUUUAUAUUCCCGUCAAAAAACUAUCGCCGAAAACUCGAAUCUAUUUCUACCUAUAUUAUUUUUUUAAAAUCCUUAGUCAUGAUAAUUAUAAAUAUAUAACCAGUGUUAUCGGUAAACCGUUUGACGUUAAAGUACAACCUCAGCUGUAAUACACGCGUAAUAGUUAUCGUUAUGCAAUACCUAUGCAGUGUUUAAAAAUGAAAUGUAUUAAUACUUCAAACGCACUUGAAGAAAACUAUUUCUAGAAUGAAAUUUAUUUUCAAUACUUAGUGUGCAACAAUUAUUUUGAAUAAUUUUUUAUUCGGUUAUUUAUUGUUUUACGAAGAAUAUAUUUCUGUUAUUCGAAAUAGAUGAUCUUUAAGGAACUUUAGCUUUGCUGCUCAUAAACGUUUCUUUCCUCCUUACAACCAUAGAUAUUUGGCUGCAAGGUAAAUUAGGAUAUUCUAUUACUCCGUUAGAUUUAAUUAAACCCGUCGUAUAGUUUUUUAUUGAAGAAUCAUUGAACGAUUUUAUGUUUAUACUUAGAUUGAUACUAUAACUUCCACGGCACAGAAUAUCAUCAGGUUUGGAACUGUUACAGGUAGGUUGGGUUUUGUCAUAUUCCUUCUUGAUUUAUCUAAACUAAACCUGUUGUGAUACUUUGUCGCGACUAUAUAUAUUGUUAUUUCAAUCAUUUUUUCGGUAAUAGUGUCAGGGAAUUUUCCUUGAGGUUUUGUGAUUGAGUCGAGAUACGUUCCCGAACCGAGCAAAAAGAAACGUCCGCUGUUCCAAGAAAGUAAAGGCCCAUCAUUGCAGUGGCAUUGUUCAUUUAUCUAAAAAAUAUUUGUUGUAUAAAAAUUGACAUAGUAUUCAAUUAAAGCGGGACUAUUUUCGAGUUCUGCCCAAUGGGUCCCACAAGACCCUUACUACGUUCUCGUACGUCCCGAUAUUCUAGCGAUAAAGACCAAAUUGUGGAUAAAAUGUCUGCUAACGUUUUGCUGAAAUACUUGUCCCAGUAUCCAUAGCUAUUCUUAGCAGGAUACAUAUUUUCCGAUUUUUAUUAUAUGUUAAACUAUGGAGUACGUCCUAUUGUAUAGAUAUUUUAAUGUGUUGUUCGUAAACCAUUGCAAACGGAAAACACUUCUGAGCAGAGUAUUAUUAAUCGUAUUCCCCCUCUUAAUUGCUGCCAAGGUAACCCAAGAAUCAACAAAAAUAAUAAAAAUAGUUUCCUAUUUUUUCAUUUGUUAUAAGAAAACUACAAGGAUAAUAAAAAAAAACCGACCUCCAACACGCACCAAUACUAGAUCGAAAAAUCUAUAAGAAAGUUUUUGUAUAAAGUGUUUGAUUAGAAAAAGAUUUAGAGAAAUUGUCACUGUAAAAAAAAGCAUAUCAUAGUAAAACCGAUACAUUUCUCUCUUAGAAAUUAAAAAUCAUACCGAAUCGUUUCGAUUUAAAGUUGCCGCGAUCCGCUCACUUAUACCUAAUAUUAUUAUACAGUAUAUAUUAUAAUAUAUAAAUACGCGGCUUCGUUAAUUUUUUUUAUUUUUUUUUUUUUUCAGAAAAAAACCACCGCGGAAUAUCCAUAGUGCAGUUAAAUCGACUCUGCGGUAUAAUAUAAUACGAGUCGUGUGCGAUGAUGGAAAAAAACGAACGAUUUCGUCAUCCUUUCGCCCGGAAGUCGUUAUAUUACUCUGUGUACGCAUACACAUUACACCGUGUGUGUCAGGUUAUAAUAUUAUACAUG